GGGCCAUUAUGAAACAAUGGCCAGACAUCAUCUACGCAUCAGAGAUGUGUCUGUGCAAAAUAGAGGUUGCCAAGGUGAUGGGUGUUUGUGUGAGAGAGGUGGCAAGAAAAAAAGUGCCCUUUCACAGGACACUUGGGUGUUUUUGGUGAAAGGUGUGCCAAGAAGGAGGAGAACGAGGCAGAACUCCAUGCAGCGCUGGCAGGAGGAGACUGCACCAAGAGACAAGGAGCCAUGACUGAAUCCAGCAGUUCCUUGCCCUGCAUUUAUCUCUGCAGUAAUUAAAGUCAACUGCAGUUAAAAGUAAGUGAAACUCCUUUGAGAAAUGUUGUGAAUGAUUCUGAAUUUCUUAAUGAAUUUCCUCUGGAAUUUCUGCUGAUAUUUAGCCUGAGCAGGAUUCUCCAAAUCUGCCCAGAAGUUCAAUUUAGGUUAAUUCUCUGACUGCUCUUAGACACCGGAGCAUCACGUGAUGGGUAGCUUUGGCACUAGACUGUUCAAGUGACAAUAUAGAUUGUGGAAUCUUUUCACCAGGCCAUAAAUGUGAGGUCAGUGCCAAACCAGCUAGUCGUGUGCCUGGACCGCUGUUAGACUACGGGACUAGGACUGAGACUGAGACAUCAGUUGAAACUAUGGAAGUAUGAACCUACCCAGACCCUGAGAUCAGCCUCUGAAGCCCUUCUUCGUGUGCCUCCUCCUCGAGAGGUCUGGAGGGUGGCAACACGGAAACAGGGCCUCCUCUGCAGUGGCUCCCCAUUUGUGGAAUGCUCUCCCCAGGGAAGUUUGCCUGGCGCCUUCAUUAUACACCUUUAGGCACCAGGCAAAAACAUUCCUUUUUUACCAGGAUCUAAUUUACACCCUAUGGUCUUUACAUCCUAUGUUCUUUUUUUGGGGGGGGGGGUGUUAUUGGGUUGUUGUUUUUAUUUGGUUAUAUACAGCGCUUUUUUCUAAAAAAAAAUAUGUUUACGAGUACUCUCAUUUUCCUACUCAUAUUGAAGUACUGCAUCUCAGUGAGUCCAAACUUAGAUUCACAAAAUAUUUAGGGAUAUCUGUACCCCUGCGUCCCCCCAGAAAAAAAGCACUGGUUAUAUAUAUAGUGGUUUUAUAUUCUGAUUUUGUUCUGUGAACCGCCCUGAGACCUCCGGGCAUAGGGUGGUGUGUGUGUGUGUGUGUGUGUGUGUGUCUGUCUGUGUGUGUGUGUGUGUGUGUGUGUGUGUGUGUGUGUGUAUCUCAACUUGACUCUGAAGCUUACUGGAUGACCUUGGCUCAGGCAGCAUCACAGGGUAGCUGUCAGGGAGGGUGUUGGGAGCAAGUCAGCAAUAAUUCACAAGGUGUCCGUGAAGUUAAGUCUAUAUUCAGAGAAACAGAAUGUCACGAGAAGGGGGCACGGGGCCACCUGCAGCCAAUCAGCCUUCACGGACACAGAGGAAAAGGCACUGAUGAGAACCAGCUGGCUUCAGCCUGCUUAAGCAUAGCUUCCAGCAGCAGUCAGAGACUGGUAACAAUGCUUUUAGUUUCUGGUCCUACCUUGCUGCUUCCUGCUUGCCUUGACCCCAUACUCAUUGGAGUUCCUGACCGCUUGACCAUCUGACUACAUGGAUUGCUGUUCUCCUGACCCUAAGACUGGACCUGACGUUGGAUGCUAACUCUGCCUCCAGGCAGAGCAACGGGACUAUGACAUAACACAGGGAGCCCAGCAACUUUUCCACAGGGCUGGCGCCACUACCGAGAAGGCCCUCUGCUUGGUUCCCUGUAACUUCACUUCUCACAGGAAGGAAACUGCCAGAAGACCUUCAGAGUUGGACCUCAGUGUCCGGGCUGAAUGAUGGGGGUGGAGAUGUUCCUUUGGGUAUAAUGGGCUGAGACCAUUUAGGGCUUUAAAGGUCAACACCAACACUUUGAAUUGUGCUCAGAAAUGUACUGGGAGCCAAUGUAGGUCUUUCAGGACCUGUGUUAUGUGGUCCCAGCAGCCACUCCCAGUCACAAGUCUAGCUGCCGCAUUCUGUAUUAAUUGUAGUUUCUGGGUCACCUUCAAAGGUAGCCCCACGUAGAGCGCAUUGCAGUAGUCCAAGCGGGAGAUAACCAGGACAUGCACUACUCUGUUGUCUUUCAGUAGUUGUCUUUCAGUUGUUUUUGGACUAGAUAUUCCACCAGCUCCAACCAGCAUGGCAAAUGGUCAGUGAUGACAGCAGUUGUAGUCUAAAAUAUUUGGAGGGCACCAAGUUGGGGAAGGCUGGUGUAUACAUUUGUAUGGGUGAGCCCCUGAUUCACAAGUGACAUCAUUUGCAUGAUUCCAAAGUCAAAGGGCUGCCCCAUAGUUCAGGGCUGCCCACUUGAAUAAAAUAUUGGAGGGACAUGUGUCGGGGAAUGGGCAGAAGAGGAAUGGUGAAGACCGCCUUCACUGUUGGUUUCUAUUUCCUUCACUGAGCAGCAUCUACUUGUCAUGAGACAGGUGUUUACAUUCCACAGUCUGUACUGUUGGAGUUUCUCACGGGAAAGGGAGACUGGAUGUGACGUACACUGGUUUCCUGUUUUUUCACUGUGUGAUUCUCUCCGAGCUGUCGAGGAGAGAGGAUGCAUUUUUCUGCUCCGGCAGAGGCAAGAUGUCUUUCUGUAAUAUACCAGCUUUGAACUGUAAAUAAAGCAAUAUAGAGUAUGUAUCACGUAUUCCUCAUCCUUCCGCUGGGCAACGACAGACUCUGCUUUAAAUCAACACGUGGUUAUGGGCUCCAGAGGUCGAAUCGGAGUGCCGGCAAAGGAUCGGAAUGCAGAGGGACGGAUCGGAAAGGAAUCUGCUCUGCGCGUAGAAGUGAUUGAUGAGGUAUGUGCUACUGCUCCGGGCAGCCUGCCAGCUUCAAGUUAAUGGCUUUAUGGCUGGACUUUGAACUUUAAAGCCGGUUUUGCCGGGAAUAGGCAAAGGCUCCCAGGCACAAGUCACUAUGCUGGGGAAAUCGAAGUAACUUUUAAGUGCGCCUUUGUAAUAAGGCAGCUGCAGCAGUGACGCAGCAAGAUUUAAAGCAGCAUAUGACGCUGAAGGCUAAUGCCAGAGUCAUGAUGGCCCUUCAGGAUGCUUGUGGGAUUCCUAAGCUCAACAAGAAAAAUUACAGCGACUGGGUUCAGUAUGCAGAGGCAAUUCUGCGGAAAGAGGGUUUGUUUGAGGUGAUUACAGGAACCCCCAGUUCCAGUUACAGAUGCAUGGGAAGCUAAGGAUUCCAAAGCAAGGGGAACUCUUACAUUGAUAGUAUCCUCAGAAGAGCUCUGUCUAUUGCGUGAUAAGACCUCAGCCAGAGAAAUUUGGGACGCUCUGAGAGAGGCUCACUUAAGGACAGAAGCUGGAUCCACUAUGUUUUAUUUUAACAAGCUGCAUAAUAUGGCUCUUGCUGAAGGUGGAGAUGUGCGUUUACAUCUGAUGGAGAUGCAAAAUCUGAGACAUGAGCUGCAACAGAGAGGACUCAACUUUCCAGAGGCUGUGUAUUCUUUCAUGAUACUACAAUCUUUGGGUUCAGGUUGGGAGUCUGUUGCAACCCAGAUUGCUGUGCAACCAACUGCUCAGCUGACAGUGGACUUUGUUACUGCCGUGAUUUUAAAUGAAGCAGAUCGCCGGGUGCUAGCUGCAUGGGCAAGGGGAGUCUUCACAGACGUCAUCCCAUAGUGCAGUGGAACCACCAGAUGGCGCCAAAGCUUUGAAGGCAGUCAAAUGCUACUCGUGUGGACGUCUAGGCCAUAUGAAGAGGGAAUGCAGACAUCCCAGGGCCAAGACAGAGCAGCGCAGCGAAAGCUCAUCGCGCGGAAAAGGCCGAGGCAAAGGCAAAGGUCCGGUGUCUAGGACAACGCAGCACAAGGCUAUGGUUUCACGCUUCACUCCAAAGGUUGCAGAGGUCCAGAAGACGUCUAGAUCUUUCUUCGUUGUUGAUUCAGCGGCCACCCACCACAUGUGCAACGAUAAGAAACUGUUUGUGUCUUUUACACCGCAGGAAGGUGCGAUUCACCAGGCGGAUGACCACACUAUUCCCAGUAAAGGCUACGGAACUGUUGUUCUUCACAGUUUGGACUUAUCGAUACAGAAUGUGCUUUACGUGCCAGACGCCAAACAUAAUCUGCUCAGCGUUGGACAGCUGAAUGAGCGGAACAUUGACGUUUCCUUCAAGAACAAGAAGUGCAUCAUCACAAAGAAAAAUGAUUAUGUAUUGCAUGCAGAAUAUGUUGAUCAUUUGUUUGUUUUGUAUUAUGAUGAUGUGGUGCAGGAUGACACUUGUUGCAUUGCAGGUUCUAACAAAAGUUUGCAUGCAGAAUGUAUUCACGAUUUUCAUCGAAAAUUUGGUCAUUUGCAUUUUGAGGCAGUAUCUAAAAUGCCUGCCUUGGUUGAAGGUAUGACUAUUAAACCCUGCAGGUACCACAUGAAGUGCAAAGCAUGCGCAGCAAACAAGGUGAAAAUGGCUGCGAAAGGUAAGGUGUCUAGUAGGAAAGCUACAGAACCAUACCAGGUUGUUCAUGCUGAUUUGGUUGGACCACUAGCGCCCUCUUUGGGUGGAAAUAGAUACUUCAUGGUUCUCAUUGAUGCAUUUUCUAGAUAUAUUUUUGUGUACAAUCUCAAGCAGAAAUCGGAGGCUUUUCCUAGGUUCAAGGAAUUCUGUGCUUGGUUGGAAAAUGUGCAUGGUAAGAAGAUAAAGACUCUUUCAGUGAUCGCGGGGGGGAAUUCACUUCUCAGCAGUUUGAAGCUUUUCUGACUGAGAAAGGAAUUCAACACGAUUUGUCUAGUCCUCGCUCGCCAUGGCAGAAUGGACUUGCGGAACGGGCAAAUCAGACAUUGCUUCAAGGAUUAAAAACCUUGCUGCAUGAUGCCAAUCUUCCAGAGAGUUAUUGGGCCGAAUCUCUCUCGUGUUUUGUUUACAGUUACAAUCGCAGGUUAUCUUCAGCGAUUGGUUGUACUUCUAUGAGAAGAUGUUUGGCAAGAAGCCAUACAUCAAACACAUGAAGAUUUUUGGUUCUGACAUGUGGGUUCGCUCACCACAAAACUCCAAGUUAGACAAGCGUGGAUUGCAUGGUAUCUUUCUAGGUUAUCAGAAAGGGUCUUACAGAAUAAUGAUGACUGACUCUAAGACAAUUAAGCUCACGAGAAGUGUUGAGUACAAUGCAAAGUGGGGGAGAAUGUGGGAAUUUUCCAAUGUUAUCCUGAUGACGGUGAUGAGACUGAGGAUAGUCAAAGCAACCACAACAGCCCACACCCACUGAUGAAGGUUCUGAGUCUGAAUCUGAAACUGAAUCGGGUGAUUCAGAGGAUUUCAAGAGUGCGAAAGCCUCUAUGCGACCCUCUGAAAGCUCUGAUCAAGAAUUGGAGGAACCAUUGUUCACAAUAGGUCGUUUUUCUCCUAAGAAGGAAGAGGAGAGUGUUGAAGACUUAAGGCUAAUUCAGUAGGUCACAGAGAGCCACAAAAGGCAAACCUCCAAAGAGAUUUGCUGAUGAGUUUGCUAAGAUAGCAGUAACAGCUGUUAAAAGCUCCAAGAAGGUAUUUGAACCUUCAAGUUUCCAAGAAAUCCAGGGUUUGGAUUCAAAGGAAGCUGAGCCAUGGUUAAAUGCCAUGAAGGCUGAGCUUGAUUCCUUAGAAAGGAACAAAACAUGGGAGCUAGUUCCAGUAGUUCCAGGAAUGAAACUGCUUGGAAGCAAAUGGGUCUUCAAAGCGAAGACAGAUCAAAAUGGCAAGAUAGUCAGACACAAAGCCAGAUUGGUAGCCAGAGGUUUUGCACAGGUACCAGGUGAAGACUAUCACGAGACCUAUUCACCCACAGUGAGAUAUGAAAGCAUUAGGCUUAUGCUCAAGCUUAGCUGCAGAGGAAAAUCUACACAUUAGUCACCAUGAUAUUAAUACAGCUUUUCUGUACGGAUCUCUAGAUGAAUCACUUUAUAUGCUUCCACCUGAUGGCGUACAGGUAAAACAGGGAUUUGUUUGUGCUCUGAAGAAAUCCCUUUAUGGUCUCAAACAAAGUGCACGGUGUUGGCACACAAAACUCACUGAAGUAUUGUUUUCUCUAGGUUUUCAGCAAGGGAAAGCUGAUCCAUGUGUAUUUGUCAAAGAGGAGGGGCAAAAGAAACUGUACUGUUUGUUUUAUGUUGAUGAUUUAUUAUUCUUUUGGAAAGAUGUUGCAAUGUACAAUAACGCCCUAGCUCAACUGAAAGAGCACUUUGACAUGAAAGAUCUUGGUGAGGUAAACAACUACCUAUCUCUGGAAAUAGAGAGAGAUCAAGAUGGUAACAUUCUAGUACACCAGUCACGGAAAAUUGCUGAUGUGUUAAGCAAACUAAAUCUGAUGGAUGCUAACCCUGUAGACACACCGAUGACAACAGGUUAUCAGGUAGAUGACACUGAAGAAGCAUUUUCUGACACUACACUGUACAGGAGUGUGCUAGGCAAGCUAAACUUCAUUGCCAGAUGUUCAAGACCAGACAUUGCUGUUAGCUGUAAUUUGCUAAGCAGACAAGUCAACAAUCCUAGUGUCAAGGAGUGGAAAGCUCGGAAACGCAUAGCGCGGUAUUUGAAAGGCACUAUGCAUUACAGACUGAGAUUUAACAAUCAGAAGUCUGGUGGUCUUGAGAUAUUUGCAGAUGCAAGUUUUGGAAGUGACACUACAGACAGGAAAAGUACGUCUGGAGUUUGCUACAUGUACAAUCAGAGUCUGUUUGAUUGGUCAUGCAAGAAGCAAACAACAGUUAGCUUAAGUACUUGUGAAGCUGAACUGAAUGCACUGUCUUAUUCACUUAAGGAUUGUGAAUGGUUAGUACAAUUGUGCAAAGAUAUGAAAAUUCCUGUCAAAUGUCCAAUCCAGGUUUACCAGGACAACAAAGCAUGUUUGGCUUUGCUGAAGUCUGAAGGUUGUAAGCAAAGCACAAAGCACUUGCAAUUAAAGUUGCAGCAUGCUAGGGAAUGUAUUCAGAAGGGACUCGUAACGGUGUCCUAUAUGCCAGGUAAUGAAAUUCCUGCUGAUGUAUUGUCCAAGAUUGUAUCAAGGAAUCAACACUGUACCUAUGUGCAGAAGUUGGGUUUGUACUGAUACUGUACGAACACGCUGCCCAGUGAUGUUCACAGAAAGGGGGAGGAUGUUGGUUUCUAUUUCCUUCACUGUGCAGCAUCUGUUUGUCAUGAGACAGGUGUUUACAUUCCACAGUCUGUACUGUUGGAGUUUCUCACGGGAAAGGGAGACUGGAUGUGACGUACACUGGUUUCCUGUUUUUUCACUGUGUGAUUCUCUCCAAGCUGUCGAGGAGAGAGGAUGCAUUUUUCUGCUUCGGCAGAGGCAAGAUGUCUUUCUGUAAUAUACCAGCUUUGAACUGUAAAUAAAGCAAUAUAGAGUAUGUAUCACGUAUUCUCAUCCUUCCGCUGGGCACGACAGACUCUGCUUAAAUCAUCCUGACCCAGGGAGGAGGAAGAGGAAGACAGCAUAGAUUUACAACAGGGGUUAGAAGGAUGUAGCAGCUCAGAGGCAGAUGAGGAGGAAAGCUAAGAAAUCAUGGCAGAGCUGGGACAACACUCAGCUGACACGUUGUCAGUAGAAAGCAUUCCAGACCCACCAUCUCCCAGAACCUGGAGAUUCUUAAAAGUAGGAGAGCAAAGAUCUCAAAGACAGAGGGCCAGCGGCAGAGCAUAUGUCCGCACUGCCCGGGGUGGGCGUGCUCCUGAGGGGGGCGUGGCAUGCUGCCAAGGGGGGGCAUGGUGUGGAGGGUGCGCUCCCAGGCAUGGGAUAGCUGCUCAGGUGCCUGGAGUGGCGCAUGAGCCCCGCAGCCGGGGGUGGAACAAGCCACCCAUGGUGGACAUUCAGUGUACCGCCUGCCCACGACUCCCAAGCCUCCCCCAAGCCGUCAAAACGAAGGAGAAAGGGAGAAAUGCUGUUGGCAAAGCAGCAUCUACCCCACUUACCCCAACAUGGGCGAGUGGUGCGCUGAAUGUAACCCCCCUUAGUGAGGGCACCUGGGUCAGUCUGCCCCCCCACACCCCUACAGAGGGCACUUAGCGGCAUCCGUAGAGGAGACAAUGAGAAUGAGGAAUGAGGAAGUGGGAGAGACAGGGGUGUGGAGAUUCACUCAGGACAACACCAUUAUCCAAGAGGCUGAGUUCUGUAGCCUCUCUCUGUAAACACUGAAAUAAAAAAGAAAGGUAAGAAACUUUCCCUUGUCUUUAUUCUUUCCUGGGCCACCAGCUAGGAGCCGCUGACAGCAGGUAAGCCCUGUCCUAUAUAAUCACAUGACAUAGCACACAUACACUAUUUGAAUGGCAACGCUCAUCAAUUUUGACUGCCUCAAAUAUUUUCAUGGGGUGGCUGAAGUGACCUUAGCCUCUUGGAGCUCCUACGCCAUAGUUUAUGGCCAGCAUUCUAGUAACAAGCAUGAACUUCCUGUUACAACUUCAAGCUUCUGAAAUGGAUAACUGCACGAUUUCCAUUUCUUUUUAAUAAACAAAAGUUAUUUAAAACCUGAAAUCUGAAACUUAUUUAAUGCUGUCAAGACUGUCAUAUUUUUGACUGAGGGUAGGAGUCAACAGCAAUGCGCAAAAGCAAUUAAGCAGGAGUAACCAGAUGUAGCUUUGAUUAUGUACGAUCUUGGCAAAUGAAGACCCGUGUAGGUGGAUACACUUGAAAAGUUCUGGUUCAUAAACUGCCCACAGGGACAGUUUAAUAUUUCAGGGUUGUAGGUGUGCAACCUAACACAUAUAUAACAUUAUUUUCAAAAAAAAGAAGGGUGCAUUGAACUAGCCUUAAUUAGUUAUUUUAAGGUGACAUCUGAAGUGGUGUGAGGUUUCUUCAAGCAGAAUGACACAGGCAAACGAUUCUGGGGAUAACAACUUACAAUUGAGUUAAUUCUUUGAAUAUUUCCAGGGAGGUAACUGAAGUUUAGUGCAGUAGAUAAGCAGGGCCGUCUUUAGCAUAUGUGGUGCCGGGGGGUGGGGGGGCAGUGGCUGUUGGCUGGCCUGGCUCUUCAAUCCCAGACUCCAAAUCUCAGCCCUGGACUCUCAGCCUGGCGCCCCUGAGAGCCCGGCGCCUGGGUGCCCCACACCCUAGCUCCUAUGGGUAAGCCAGCCCUGUAGAUAAGCUAAGUAAAGAGGCUGCAGAGCAUGCCUGGACUAUGUGCUUCUAUGAAUCCUGGCUUUGUCUGUAGACAUAGUUACCGCACAAAAAUGAGAAGGCCUUUCUCACAUUCUCCAGGCAGUUACAAACCAAAAACAGUACAGUGGUACCUCGGGUUACAUACGCUUCAGGUUACAGACUCCGCUAACCCAGAACUAGUACUUCGGUUAAGAACUUUGCUUCAGGAUCAGAACAGAAAUCGCGCGGCAGCACAGCAGCGGCAGGAAGCCCCAUUAGCUAAAGUGGUGCUUCAGGUUAAGAACAGUUUCAGGUUAAGAACGGACCUCCAGAACGAAUUAAGUUCUUGACCCGAGGUACCACUGUACACUGUACAGUGGUACCUCGGGGUACAGACACCUCAGGUUACAAACACUUCGGGUUACAGAUUCCGCUAACCUGGAAGUAGUACCUCGGGUUAAGAACUUUACCUCAGGAUGAGAACAGAAAUUGCACACUGGUGAGAUGGUGGCAGCGGGAAGUCCCAUUAGCUAAAGUGGUACCUCAGGUUAACAACAGUUUCAGGUUAAGAACGGACCUCCGGAAUGAAUUAAGUUCAUAACCAGAGGUACCACUGGAUCUCCUGUGGGCCAUUGCUGACUGAUGCUGCUCUUUUUCCUCUUCUUUUUUAGCCUUUUGUCUAGGGGUGGGUGAAGGUUUCAGUUUUGGUUUAUCUCAGUUCCUCAUUUCCCCCCAAUUUUAAGUUCAGCUCUCCACAUUUCCAGAUCAGUUUUCAUUUUAAACAAGUUCUCGUGAAACUUCAGCAGCAUUUCUUUGUGCAACUUUCUCCUACUAUACUCAUUUUUAUACACAAAUGUGCCUAAUGUACACAUUUCUGCUAUUUCCCCCAAUAUAAUAUGUUUUGUAGGCUAGCUUCACCAAUGUAUGUGUCAUGCAUUCAUAUGCACCUUUUACCCUAAUAUACUUUUUUUGAAAAAAUCCACAUUAUGUGGCUGGAGAUCUGCAUUGCAAAAUUCAGAGAAGUGCAGAUUUCAAAGGAUUGUGUUCAAGCAUGGUUUCUCCCUAUGGAGUAAUGAAGAAAGAAAAGUUGGGGUGGAGAUUCUUCACUGUACCUCCAGACUUUGAUGCCUAGCCAAAGAUCACAUUUAUUUGGACUAAAUGACCAUCAGGGUCCCUUCCAACUCUUUAGUUCUAUGAUUCUACAUUGUCCCACAGAACAUCUUUUUUUCCCCUUUUGGAAAUACUUAUUAUUUGAUUUUACAAGUGUAAAGUUAUAACAAUACCAAACACAUAUCCGAAAUUAGAGAUUUCUCUAAAUCUCCAGACUUCCCACCCUCCCCUCCAUGGGUCUUAUUGUCAACAUUUUCAACUGCAUAUUAUUUCAUAAUCCAUAUUCUGUAUAUCUCCAUAUUGUCCAUAGUGUUUGUUACAUUACAAGUGUUAUUAGAAUCCUGCUAAUGUUUUCAUCUGCUUACAGUAGUCUCCUAAACAAAUGAUAAUUUCCCCCCGUUCUUUCUUGAAACUUUUGUCUUCUUGGUUCCUGAGUUUUCUGGUCAGUUUUGCCAUUUUGGUGUAGUCCAACAGCUUGGUUUGCCAUUCCUCUCUGGUAGGGACUUUAUCUUCUUUCCAUCUCUGGGUUAGUAGCAUCCAUGUAGCUGUUGUGACAUACAUGAAAAGUCUUUUCUGCUCCUUUGGGAUCUCCGUACCUACAAUUCUUAAUAAAAAAGCUUCUUUUUAAAAUAAAAGUUAUUUUAAACAUUUGUUUCAAUUCAUUAUAUAUCAUUCCCCAGAAUGCUUUUAUUACCUUACAUGACCAUCACAUAUGGUGAAAGGUACCUUCUUUUUCUUUACAUUUCCAGCAGGUAUUUGUACUUGUCUUAGACAUUUUUGCUAACUUAAAAAAAGUAAAGGACCCCUGACAGUUAAGUCCAGUCGCAAAAGACUCUGGGGUUGUGGCGUUCAUCUUGCUUUACAGGCCAAGGGAGCCGGUGUUUGUCCACAGACUUUUUCCAGAGACAAAUACCACUGCCCUCUCCCGGGAAAGCCUUCCUUCUUCACUGGGAAGGGCUUCAAAAAUUAAAAAAAUAAACGGAGAAACAGCCAUCUCCUCCUGAACCCUGUUGCCAAUAUUAGCAUCUAUAAAUCAUUAGUACCAUAUAACUUGAAUAAGAGCAGUUAUUUUUAAGUUCAACAGCUUUUACCUCUUUGCAAUGAACACCUUCCUUAAGUCAAUAGUAUGUUCUAAAGUUAUCCCUUACUCCCUUUAAGCAUCCUGCCAUGUUCAAAAUCACAGAAAAGGGAUUUUUUGGGAAUAAUUUAAGUAUAAUAAAUGAGAUAAUGAGCUUGGGAAAUCGAAGGGAUCCUGGUGGUCAAAGCUAGAUGGGUCAGAUGGGUGCAGUUUGAAGCUAUAUCUCUUAGCCCAGAGAGAUCAGCUGCCACUGGCUUUUUUUAACCAGAAACUCUCAUUCUUUAAAUGUCACAGAUUUAAAAGGGGCAAAUCAUUCUUUCAAUGUGCGUGCAUGUGCUUCCAGAACUCUUCUGAUUUUUCAGUGUGUUAGUUUAGACCUUUUCGGACUUUGGGUUUGCUGGAAAAUUGGCUCGCUUAAAAUUUUUUGUGUCGAUGAUGCAUAUUUUAGAUUCUUGACAGAUGAUUUUAAUGGGUUGUGAUUUUUAUUUCAUCGGAAUUGAUUGAUACUGUGGAUUUUACAACACAAUAUGUUGUUGUUUUGCUUUGUGAGUUGUUCUGGGAUCCCAGAUUGGGUUAUGAACGUGGGGUGCAAAUUUGAAAAAAAAUCAUGUAAGCACGUGGUUGGUUGUAAGUCACUUUGGGUUGCCUUUGGGCAAGAUAAAGCAACUAACACAUUUUUUUUUUUAAAAAAAUCAUCCUCAUCAUGGGAGGUAUUGUGAAUCAAACCCGCUGCUCUUUCCAUAGCUCCACCCCUUAAUCUGCUAAACCCCCACUUUGGUUUUUCAUUUUUUAGCACGAAGUUAAAGUGUUACAGAAUCUUGGAAGCCGGCUUUUACAGCCAUAGCGUAGCCUUCUUAGACUUUACCGACUGGUGGGGUCUGCGUUGCUCCCGGGAGGGAGAAAGGAAGUCAAAUGACACCGAGGUUGAUUCAGAGAAAAAGUUUAUUCUGCUCUCCAGAUAGCAGAAUGCACUUGCAUGGUCAGUUCACAGCAAGUCCAAAGAAAUGAGAAAUUUCAUACAGUAUAUAUAUCCUCCAGGCACCCUCUCCCCCCUUCCCCAGGAAUCCAGCCACGUCAGUUUAUACACGUAAGUUGACAUCCAUGACCAUAAACAGAUAUUCCUGUUCCGGUACUCUUGACCAUAAAAGGUUGUUCCUGUUCCUAUACUCUUAUCUUGGGGCAGGAGGUCACCAACUCUAAGAGCGCUCCUGGCGCCGUUCCUGGGUCUCUUGUCAGACCUGACGAGAUCUAUGCGUCUUUGUGGUCAAGAUGUAAGAUAAGACCCAGAAGUGCCAUCCCUGCUUCACUGGAACUGGCAAGGCCAUCCAUUGCUGUCACGGACUGAUAAAGGAGAGGGCUUGUUUAUACAGCUGGCUUUCUGUUUAUACAUUGACUCAAGAGCUCAAGUUAAUGCAUUUUAGAAAUGCUCCCUUGUAGGAGGAAAAAUGAGGAUUUUGGGUCCCGUUUCAGACUGACUGCACAGAAACCCAUUCCUUCCCCCUUCAGUAGAUACCUUUGGAAUACUUCAAAAUGUGUAACUGGGGAAAACUCACUUGGCUAUUUGUUGGCAUUGGUCAUGUCUUUGUCCCACAGUGCAAUUCAAACUAAGAUCUACCAGGAUGAAGGAGUUGGGUUGCUUUACUGGCUAAGCCAGGGACCAGUUGGGGCUAUGCCAGCAUAAGCCCCACAGAUAUGCCAGUGCAAAUCUUUCACACUGGCUCAUCUGGGGCUCAUCUGGCAGAAUUUAUAUUGGCAAAACUUGUGCUGGUGUAAGCCCACCUCCUCCCCCCCAAAAAAGGGGAUUUGGUGGAAGCAGGACAGGGUGACACGUGACUUAGCAACCAGGUGGCGAAGGUUGGAUUCCUCCUGAAUGGGGUCUUGAAUAGGGCCAACGUAAGCUGGUGUAAUGUACUCUAAUGUACAACACAUCAGCUUUUUAUAGUUUGGAUGGCUCUGUUAGCCUCAUUCAAUGUUUAGAGAAGAACCUAGCAGAGCCCUGCUAUAGAUAAGCAUUUGCUUACAGCUGCACAUUGGGAGCCUCAUUUAGCUUGCUUUAACUUUCAUUUGGGGACUUCUAAGAAGUGAGCAACAUAAUUUAAUUCCCCUUGAGAGUUUCUUAAGAGGAACUGGCAGCUCGUCUUGCUCUGGGAAGGAAUCUGGCAUGACAAACCUAUUGAUUAUGGGGUUGUCAUUCUUCUGUGUAGAGAAACAGUCACAUUCACCAUUAAGUGCUUAGCCUAAUGGCAAUUUGGAAAAGGAAUUGUUGAAGAAUGAACGAAAGCUUUUCAUUUUGCAUGAAAACAGAAUACUUUUCUAUAAACAGCAACAACAACAUCAACAACAUUUUUUUUUAUUUGUACCCCGCCCUCCCCGGGCUCAAGGCAGCUAACAUCAUAAAACUAACACAGUAUACAAAUGAACAUAAGAACAUAAAAACAGGCAGUCAAUUAAUUAAAAUACAUCUUAAAAUUAUUUAUUGGUAUGAGCUUUCAUGUGUAUGCACACAAAAGCGCAUACCAAUAACAAACUUAGUUGGUCUCUAAGGUGCUACUGGAAGGAAUUUUUUUAUUUUGUUUCGACUAUGGCAGACCAACACGGCUACCUACCUGUAUCUUAAAAUUAGUUCAGAACAAAUUAAAAUCUGGACAGAUGGCAGUCCAUGGGUAAAUUGAAAGUGGUUAAUAUUCUCUAGGGCCAACUGUUACCAACUAUGACACAGAUUAGUAUCUUGUGGGUUUAAACAUACCUCAAAGAUAAUAAUAGAAUUGAAGAGUUGGAAGGGACCACGAUGUGGAGUUCAAACCCAUAACUAUGAGAUUAAGAGACUAAUUCUCUACUGACUGAGCUAUCCAGCAGAGGAACUUUAAUGCAGCUUUUAUAAAAUAACUUGCUCUGAGCUGCAGAACUUUUUUUAAAAAAAAAAGAAAAUAAAGUUUAUUGUUCUAGCCAAAGGCCCUCAUAAACUUAUAUUCAGCAAUACUUUUAAUAAAACAUACAAAACAUACAUCCAUAAUAUAAAAAUCUGCAAAGACUUUGCCAAGUUCUUGAACGUUAAAACACAGUUUCCUUUCUGCAUCUCUGACAGAUCCAAUUCUAAUAUUAUUUUGCCUUUUUAAAAUCCAAUUUGCCAACAUCCAUGAAUACCAGAGAGACAAGAUGCCAGAGACACUAACAAACUCAAAUCCAACUUGAUUUCACUUUAAACCUCUGAAUCACCACAACAAUUUGCAGCAAUUGUAUCCAAUUCCUUUUUCUGUUUUUUCCCUUCCCAGCCAGUGCAAAGAGGGCCACUCUCUGUGUUAUGAGGCUAUUACUGUCACUCAAAACCCCCAAAUCGUUUCUGCCACGGUGUACCUGCUUGCUUGUGAGAACAAAGGUUUCAGAAAGUGAUCUCUUGGGUCUCUAUAUAAGGGGCAGGCAAAAAGAUAAUGAGUGAUGUCUUCUACUGAAGGUUGAGUACAAGUACAAAGAGACGGGGGUUCAUAGUUCACAUAAACUUCAGAUUCAGGCCUGGUCUGAACCCAAAAAACUUCUAUACCUUCCAACAUUUCUCCAAUGAAAAUAGGGAUGUCCUAUUCAAUAAUAACAACAAGAAGAACAGCAAUAAAUUUAGUAUUUAUACCCUGCCCAUCUAACUGGGCUGCCCCAGCCACUCUAGGUGGCUUCCAACAUAUAUAAAAACACAAUUGAGCAUUAAACAUUAAACUUCCCUAUACAGGGUUGCUUUCAGAUGGCUCGGGGGUCGGAUAACUCGAUACCCUCCAACAUUUCUCCAGUGAAAAUGGGGACAUCUUAAGGAAAAGUGGGAUAUUCUGAGAUCAAAUCAGAAACCAGGAUGGCUUCUGUCAAUCUAGGACUGCAAAAUAUUAAUAAUAUUAAUAUUAAUAUUAAUUUAUUAUUUAUACCCCACCCAUCUGGCUGGGUUUCCCCAGACACUCUGGGCAGCUCCCAACAGAAUAUUAAAAACAUGAUAAAACAUCAAACAUUAAAAACUUCCCUAAACAGGGCUCCCUUCAAAUUUCUUCGAAAAGUCAGAUAGUUGUUUAUUUCCUUGACAUCUGAUGGGAGAGCGUUCCACAGGGUGGGCGCCACUACCGAGAAGGCCCUCUGCCUGGUUCCCUGUAACCUCACAUCUCACAGUGAGGGAACCGCCAGAAGGCCCUCAGAGCUGGACCUCAGUAUCCAGAUUGAAUGAUGGGGGUGGAGACGCUCCUUCAGGGAUACUGGGCUGAGGCCGUUUAGGGCUUUCAAGGUGAGCACAAACACUUUGAAUUGUGCUCAGAAAUGUACUGGAAGCCAAUGAAGGUCUUUCAGGACCGGUGUUACAUGGUCUUGGUGGCCACACCCAAUCACCAGUCUAGCAGCCACAUUCUGGAUUAAUUGUAGUUUCUUGGUCACCUUCAAAGGUAGCCCCACGCAGAACGCAUUGCAGUAGUCCAAGCGGGAGAUCACUAGAGCAUGCACCACUCUGGCGAGACAGUCUGCGGGCAGGUAUGUGUACCAGAUGGAGCUGGUAGACAGCUGCCUGCACUUCCAUAGGCUCUGAUGCAACUGUUCACACGUAGACACCUUCUUAAAGCACAGUUAGACCUGUAUUGGGAUAUAUUUUUGGAAAAAGAAGCAUUUGUUUUACAGUGGUACCUCGGGUUACAUACGUUUCAGGUUACAUACACUUCAGGUUACAGACUCCACUAACCCAGAAAUAUUACCUUGGGUUAAGAACUUUGCUUCAGGAUAAGAACAGGAAUUGUGCAGCAGCAGCGCAGCGGCAGCGGGAGGCCUCAUUAGCUAAAGUGGUGCUUCAGGUUAAGAACAGUGUCAGGUUAAGAACAGACCUCCAAAAUGAAUUAAGUACUUAACCCGAGGUACCACUGUACUAUAUGGUUAUAUUCUUUUCUGUUUAAAAUUGUUAAUAUUACAGCUAUUGCCUGGCCAUUGCCUGUUAAGGAGAUUGUUAAUAGCCCAGUACAAUUGUUGUGUAUUAUUUUUUUUUGGGGGGGGGGGAAUCUGAUGUUUGAGAGAAAGUGGUUCCUUCCUUUGAGUGCUUGAAUGAGGGAACCAUCAGUUUAAGGAAGGUACCAGCCAGCUAAGAGAAGGAUCCUGCUGCAAAGUAUGCAUGUGUAGAGUUUAGAGUAUAGCUUUAGAGUUUUGCUGUUUCUUGAAUUUCUUACUGCCUGGGGAAGUGGGGAACUCAUAAUAAUAUAUAAAACAUUAAACCCGUCUUUAGAAAAAGAACACAAUAAAGUCUAGAGAAUUAUGUUUGAAAGCUGUGGUGCUGUUUAUGGAAUGAUAGAUAAAGCUGCAAACGAAGGCAAAUCUUGUGCACAUUUUUCAGGCCUGAGUCUAUUCAGCUCUGGAGAUUUUCAUAUCAGCGCUAAGUUGAUACCUUAAAAACUUUGCAUCAAUCUGAAUAAUGCUCCCUGGCUUCUGAUGAGCUGGUGUGUUCCCAGUGGUUUGUAUGCAUAUUUCAGGUGUUCAUUAAAAUAUUCUUACCCUCCUACACUCGGCACCUGCCACCUUCAAAAUGUGGAAGGCUACACGGGACAUGGGUGGCGCUGUGGGUUAAACCACAGAGCCUUGGACUUGCCGAUCUGAAGGUCAGCGGUUUGAAUCCCCCCGACGGGGUGAGCUCCUGUUGCUCGGUCCCUGCUCCUGCCAACCUAGCAGUUCGAAAGCACGUCAAAGUGCAAGUAGAUAAAUAGGUACCACACCAGUGGGAAGGUAAAUGGCGUUUCGCCAGAAGCGGCUUAGUCAUGCUGGCCACAUGACCCGGAAGCUGUACUCCGGCUCCCUCGGCCAGUAAAGCGAGAUGAGUGCCGCAACCCCAGAGUCAGUCACGACUGGACAUAAUGGUCAGGGGUUCCUUCACCUUUACCAUCAGAAUGGGACAAGGGUAAUAUGCACAAAAUGGAAAAUGAAAUUUGGCUUGCAUUAGAGCUCACCAGGAGCACGAGAGCUGAUGAUCUGAAAGGGUUAGCUGUUAGCCUGGUGGUAGAUAUAAUGUUGGAGCCAAUCAAUUUCCUUUGGCAGCCAUUUUGUUGGUGGCUAAGGGAAAUUACAACAAAGUGACCUACAAUCCUCUGUGCCAAGUUGAGUACACACUCUUCGAUACCAAAGAGCUCCCUCACCCAUUUACCCUCUUAUUUCUGUCACUCUUUUGUGAAAUCCUUAAUAUCGUAGACUGUAAUGCAGAGUUUGGAGAACAGCCGUGUGAAGAGAUUGAUGUUGUUCCUUGCUAAAGUUUUCAGACUGAUUAGCACCUGCAUAGGAAACCGUUGGGGAGAACGACACCAGUUGCUGUGACUUAAGGAAGACUGGGAAUCAAAUUAAAAUAAAAAAUACAAGCCCAAUAAAUAACAACAAUAACCUUUCCAAAGCUGAUUUCUACCCGAAAGCGUUCAAAGAGGGUAAGGAUCAGGGCAAGAGUUCUUCGGGUGCUUAUUCAUUAGUCCAUUUCUUAAUGAAUCUGAGUUGCUGAGAAAAUGUUAGAACAGGCAUAGGCAAACUUGGCCCUUCAGAUGUUUUGGGACUACAACUCCCAUCAUCCCGAGCUAACAGUAAUAUUGAUUAUUAGUGACUUCAGCUUUCCUAGACAUAAGAAAAUACCGUAUUUUUUGCUCUAUAAGACGCACCAGACCACAAGAAGCACCUAGUUUUUGGAGGAGGAAAACAAGAAAAAAAAUAUUCUGAAUCUUACAAGCAAGAGGGAUCGCUGCGCAGUGAAAGCAGCAAUCCCUCUUGCCAGUGGCGCAGCGUGGGUUGUCAGCACCCGGGGCAAGGCAAGUAAUUUGCGCCCCCUAACCCGUGGAUUUGCGCCCCCUAACCCGUGGAUUUGCGCCCCUAACCCUAACCCCCAGAUGUUGCGCCCGGUGCGGCCGGCCACCCCUGCACCCCCCACGCUACACCACUGCCUCUUGCUGUUCUGGCUUCUGGGAUAGCUGCGCAGCCUGUAUUUGCUCCAUAAGACUCACACACAUUUCCCCUUACUUUUUAGGAGGGAAAAAGUGAGUCUUAUAGAGCAAAAAAUACGGUAAUUUGGGUUUAGACUGUCAUCAUCUAAAAUGGACAAUGAUUUCAAUAUAGACAUUAACAGCUGCCUCCCUGUUGAGUGUUCUGUAUUUUAAAGUGUGUACAAUAGUGGCCAAGAUUAUGGAAACCUUUUGGAAAAAGUGUAUUUCUGAGGUUUGGUGGCUCAUAACACCUGACUGGCUACAUUCAAAUGAAGGAAAGUAUAUCAAGCUAAGCAAGUUGUGCUUCCUUCUUCUGGUUAUUUGGCUAUAACUUUUGAUGGAAUACAGAUAAUUGAACAAUAAAAAUUGAAUAAUAAUAAUUGAAAUUGUUGCAUUACAUUCUUUAUUAAAUUAUCUUUCCAUUGAUAUAUAAUUUUAUGGUAUUACUAAAAUAAAAGUGGUAUUAAGUAAAGGGGUAAAGGGACUCCUGACUAUUAGGUCCAGUCGUGACCGACUCUGGGGUUGCGGCACUCAUCUCGCUUUAAUGGCCGAGGGAGCCGGCGUACAACUUCCGGGUCAUGUGGCCAGCAUGACUAAGCCACUUCUGGCGAACCAGAGCAGCACACGGAAAUGCCGUUUACCUUCCUGCCGGAGUGGUACCUAUUUAUCUACUUGCACUUUGAUGUGCUUUCGAACUGCUAGGUUGACAGGAGCAGGGACCGAGCAACGGGAGCUCAUCCUGUCGUGAGGAUUCGAACCACCGACCAUCUGAUGGGCAAGUCCUAGGCUCUGUGGUUUAACCCACUGCACCACCUUAAAAAUACACUUACAUACAAUUGUCACAAACCUUGCUUAUUUGUUUGAAAGGCAAUAUCAUGCAACACAAUAUGAUGUUAUGCAAAAGGGAAAUUACUGCCUCAUCUGUCUUUGCACACCUAUUAUCAUGGGAAAAGCAGAUAUAUUUGAUUUAUUUAGGCCGUGUACACAUUACCAUUCAGUCUGGCUCCAGCAUUCUUCCUUUGUUGAUGUUUGAAGCAUAGGGCACAUGACAUUCACCCCAUUCCAUACGUAUCCUGCAGUUUCUUGAGAAAUACCCCUUUUUGGUGCAUUCUCCCUCAAACCAGCUUCCUACCAAAUUGAAAACAUGAACUGCUCUUAAGUUGAGAUGUGUCCUUUUGAGAUAGCCGUUGCACAUGCUCAGAUGACAGUUUCACUGGAUAGCAAUUUGGUGUGGGUGUGUUUUCAUACGUGGGGAAGUCAGGCAAGUAACUCAUAUCAAGUGAAGACACCAUCUCCCCCAGCCUAUGUGUUGAGCAACACAAAAAACUCGACUCAAAACGCAUUGGGGGAAACAACCUCAGUGCAUUUUAAGCUGCUAAUGUGUACCUAGCCUAAAUCAAGAGCAAAUGCUUUAAGUUGUUUAUAGGCAGCAACCUCAGCAAUUGGGAAUAGCGGUAAAGCAAAGGGGAAAACAUUAAUAAGAUCAUUUGUCAUCUAAUCAUUCUUUCCAGUUUGUUCAAAAUUAGAUUUAAAGCUGCUGGCUAAUAGGGGGAUUAUACAGUUUUCCAUGCAUGAUUUGAAGUACUGUUUGUUCAGCUCCUUAAAAAUAAAUACAUCAGGGAUUCAUCAAUAUAGCUCGGGACAGCAAGGAUAUCCAAUAUCUAUUAAAAAGGAUUGAACAAUCUAUCACAGGGCUUCUUGAUACGUGUAUUGUAGCCCAAGCUUAAUAAUUCUCAAUGUUCCUGCUUAGCCAUAGAAGACGGUGUUGUGGUUGCUUGUCAACCGUUUCCUUUUUAGCCUAAUAGCUCAGAAGGCUUGCCUGAUGGGAGAUAAGAAUUGGGGAGAUAUGUUUGUCUGGCAGUUGAGAUUCUUCUAAAUGUCAUGCCCAAAAGCACUGGCGAAGUUUGCACAUGCACCAGGAGAAGAGAAUUAUUGCAUGUGUGUGAAAAACGAGAGCUAGCAGUUAGCGGUGGAGCAAGCCAAUGGGUGCCUAAGCCACCGCAUCACUCCCAAGAGAGACGCGUGACUUGGGCGUGCUGCAGACCCCGUGGUGAGUGCCGCUCACCAUUUUGUCACCCCCUAAGUGCCCCCACCACACCCCAUUCCUCUGCCCCUGCUAGAAGUCAGCCCAGAAGAGAGAGAGGCAAGGGCAAUAAUUGUCAGGAGCUGGUCCUACAUUCGAGUAGGACCCUGGUAGAUGCAUGCCCGACUGGCAUGUUCUCUCCCUCCCGGGCGAUCGUUCGGGAGCUUCGAAAGCUUUCUUCUGCCCGAACAUCAAAGCGAGCGAUGCCAAAAGACACCAGCACACUUAGGGAUCCACAGAGACUUCGUGGCUUGCAUAACAGACCUCAGCAACUCAGCAUUUUGGCUAAUCUACUUUAUUUACAUGUAAACACACGCGGAGCACUGCAACAUGGCUCCCUCUCUCUCUAACAUCAGACAGCAAAGAGAAAAAGAACAAAGGACAAUAGUCCCACUUCACAGAACACAGUAACACAAACAUCUUGUCUCCGUCACUUCCCACUUUGUGGAGUCAAAACAUACACCGCCAUUUGACAGACAAAAAUCCCAUGACUGCAAUCAUGGAACAGGAAUUCUAACAAUAAUAGCAGAGCGAGAGAGCUAUGAGCUUGCCAGAGGCAUUUAAGGGAUGCAGGAUACUUUUCUAUGGGUCUCUGUUGCCAGGUAGCAGAUCUGCUGCCUUGCAGGAGUGCCUCCUCUAUGCAUCUCUAUAUAUGCAAACAGAGCAAAUUAUUACCCCCCAAAAGCCACAAGCCACCAGUACUAUAUCCCAUGCAAUGGAAAACAAACCCAGAAAGCACUGCAUUUAGAUUAGGGCUACGUGCUGCUGCUGAUGUAUCCAAAAGUUGGGUGUCGUUACCUCACACUUUCAUGCAUACCUUUGCAUGCACAGUGCACACACACAGAGGCACACUGCCACCCUAUACAUAGCUGAUCUGUGCAAAUCAGCUAAAGAGAGGAGAUCGUUCUGUUGACCAGGUGAUCAAGAGUGGAGGUGUAUACUUUACAAGGUUGUUAUUGUUCUUCACCAGAUCUUAACCUAUGACAGUACAGUGGAUGCUCAGGUUGUGAUCCGUGUGGGAAGCACGUUCGCAACACGCAGCAUUUGCAACCCGCGACCCGUGCAACUGUGCACAUGCGGAUCGCGCUUCGACGCUUCUGCACAUGCGCAAAGCGCAAUUUAGCACUUCUGCGCAUGUGCAAGCGCCAAAACCCGGAAGUAACCCAUUCUGGUACUUCCGGGUUCGGCACUGUGUGCAACCCGAAAUCGCGCAACCCGAAGCGUCUGUAACCCGAGGUAUGACUGUAUUUGUAAGAAUGGAUUCCAAAUAUCAUCGAAUUUGUCCAUGGAAAGUCUGUGUUUAUAGGCAUUUUGUUCAUAUGUUGUGAGUUUGUAUAAGUUUUCAAUCCAAUCGUAGAAGGGAGCUGCAUUUUUAUUUUUCCAAUUCAUCAGCAUCAGUCUUUUUGCUGUGGUAAAGGCACGGAGAGUCCACUCGUAUUGUCCUUUUGUAAGGUUACAUGUGCUGGGUAUAUGAUUCAAGAGGAUAUUUUGCUCUGUAAAUGUAUGGUUGUUCCGUACAGGUCUGUUGAUAGUUUCAGUUACCUUCUGCCAAAAAUCUUUCAAUAUAGGGCAAUGAAAAAACAUGUUUUAGAGAAGCAUUAUUCCUAUUGCAUCUCCAGCAGUUAGAUACCUUAGAUAGCCCCUUUGUAAACAAACAUAAUGGGGUCCAUUAUAUUCUAAAUAGUUUUUGACAUAGGUCAUGUUUUGAGUGUCACAGGGGUAGAUCAUUUGGUCCUGCCUAUGUUGUUGGGCUCCAACUUCCAUCGGCCAGCAACAUCUGGAUGCCCACAGAUUUCUGGAGUACAGAAUGAGAGCCAGAAAACCUGGUUCCUAUCAGUGGCUCGGUGCUUUGCAAGGAGUUGUGGGCUCUUUAUGUCUCUGUUCACACCUGUGAACAGAAGUAGCAGCAUUGGAAGCUACAGAAGUCUUUGGACUCAGCUACAUUAGUAAGGAAAUGUUGUUUUGAAUGUGUUAUAAACAGGCAACACCAGAGGGCGCAGGAGAGUAAAAAAAAUAUUCUAUGUGAUUUUCCAUAGUGUUUUCCCCCCUUUUGUUAGAACGAUUUCAUUUCUGGCUUAUUUGUAGCGUUUUUCCUCCUGUGUGUAGAUUCAUCCUUUCUCUCUGUAUGCUGCUGCCACCCUGCUCAGGUGAGUUGACUGACUCGCACAGAGCCCUGAUUUGCUGAAUUGAGCCAGCAAGUCCAAAGGGGGUUGCAAAACAUCUGCUUUUAAGGAGCUUUUACAUGCCUUGCCUACUUUUACACAGAAUGUUGAAAGGGGAAGGGGCGUUUUUGUUGUGGUGGUGGUGACACAGUUUUGGAACUCCUUCUGUUUAAAGGCUCAUUUGAGUUAAUCUUUGCGUUCCUUCUGGUUCAAGGCUUUCCCAGGAGGCUUUGGGAAUGCUGUGAAGCGACUUGCAAAAGGCUCUGUUUCAUAGCAUUUUAGCAUAGUCUGCAUUUUGCUGUUUUAUUGAUGUUGCCUUGAUCAAUAUGUAAUCCACUGUAAGCCUAUGCUACAGAAAGAGAAGGGUAAGCAACAAAGUAUUUGAGUAAUAAAAAUUUAGCGGGUGUGUCCCUGGUUGUGAGGCAUUCUGUACUGUGUAGCAAAACACCACUUCCCUGGCGGGAGUGAAUGAUUCACACUUUAUCCUUUAUUAUCUGCAAAGGUGAAUGCGCAAAUAAGAUUGUAUAUAAAGUUGAAUGACAGAGGCAGUCAGACUUUGCCACUGCAGUGUCCACAAGGGAUCACAGUCUUGGUACAAAGGUGUCAUUGUUUUUCUUGUUGCUGUUUAGUCAUGUCCGACUCUUCGUGACCCCAUGGACCAGAGCAUGCCAGGCACUCCUGUCUUCCACUGCCUCCCACAGUUUGGUCAAACUCAUGCUGGUAGCUUCGAGAACACUGUCCAACCAUCUCGUCCUCUGUCGUCCCCUUCUCCUGUUCCAGGCUCUCCUGCCCUCCAUGCUGUAUCAUUGACUACCUCUGUGGGAAAGCACACAAAAUGGUGGUUGAUGUCAGAACAAGGGGUAGGGAAAGGAAAACCUGACAUGGGGCAGCGAGUUUGGAGGCAAACUCUGUUUUUUUUUAAUCAUUACUUGUAAUUCUGCCCACAGAAAGAUAGCAAAACUUCAUAAUAGAAAUUGUAAUAGCCCCCUCUGCUUUUAGCUCCAAUAUUUUUUCUGGCCGUUCAGAUAACGGCAGCGGCCAAAAGGUGAAAUCAUUUUCAGACGUGGUUUUCUUUUCAUCUUGUAUGGCUGAGCCUUUCUGGCCUGGCUCCUUACCUGAUGCAAAUUGGAAGCAUGCUCAGAUCUGGCCUGCUAAACUUGGAACGCCAUCUGUCAAUUGUCAGAGUGUUGCUUUCUCCCUGCAGUCAGCAGUUGAAGCAGUAAUUAGGAAAAGCUACGAACAGAAGGCAUAAAAACGGCUCCCUCUUCCCCAGUUGAAAAGAUUGGUAUCGCCAUCCACUCGAGGGAGUGCUGAGAAAGCAUGAUACCUCAAAAGAAAGCUGUGAUUUGCAUAAAACCCUACUCUAUUUAUUUGCAGAAGCUGGGGAUUCUAUCACUUAUUCAUAAUGGUGGUUACGAACCAGGCACAUUUAGUGUAUAAGAUGCAAUCAGCUCCCCCAAACCUUAAUAAUUUAGCUGGUAAUCACAAUCUUUUUUGGGGGGUGGGUGAAAAAUGACUUCUCCUUACACCAGGAAGCCUUUCUUUGGGUACUUUUCUCUGCAGAUAGGAGAAAAUGAGGGCAGGCUUUCCAUUGUUCGAACAGCUCCAGAAGGGAAGUCCACCAUAUGGAUAUGAAACAUGUGCCUUGAUGGAACCUUGUGAUGAAACAAUGUGACGGAACCUUAAAGAAUCAGCAGCUGGUCUAAUUCUGUAAUAUGAUAUGGCCAGUGGUGGAGCUUCAUGCUCCGACACCAAGGGCGAAGAGCAGGCGGGGGCGGGGCUGGCGCGUGUCCUGGGGUGUGGUGCGCCCCCUAUGGGGGUGUGGUGCCCAGCAGUGGCGGGGGUCAGCCGUGAUGGCACCCCACUGGGAUCGCGCUGCCGGGGGCAGUGCGCUCCCCCCGCACUCCUCUUCCUCCGCCAAUGGAUAUGGCCCAAGAAUUGCAUCAUGUACUUCAUGCUCAUUGGCAUCUAUCUGUCUUGAGAGACCUCUGGGGGUGAAGUCAAACCCGCGAAGAAUCACAGUGCCUGCUGUGGCUGCAGAGGCCGGUAACUCAUAACUGCUGCAUCCCGGGUUGCUUUUGCUACAUCACCAACACCAAAGUGACCUCUCCGGGGCGCCCAGGUGACAUGACCCCCGUCUCAGCCUCGCUGAUGUGGUCCAAAGGAAAGCAGAGCAAUAUAUUUUAUUAAAUUUUCUGUACUCAUUUUACAUCCUUAACAUAUCAGUGACUUCCCUUCUUCUCUUUUGUGGUUCAUUUUACAUAUCAUAAAUCCCUGCAUAUUUUACAAAAACAAUACCAUUCAGUAUUCCAUUAUUGCAUCCAUCAAAACUUGUUUACACUGUUGAAUUUAUCUUAAUGCUGCCAGUAUCUUCAGCUAUACACAGUUAUUUCCCAUAUAUGCAAUAAACAUUUUCCAAUCUUCUUUAAAUGCAUGUUCUUCUUGUUCUCUUAUUCUAUAAGUUAGAUCUGCAAGCUGUGCAUAUUCCAUCAGUUUAAGUUGCCAUUCUUCUUUGGUUGGGACCUCGCUUGUUUUCCAUUUUUGGGCUAACAAAACAUGGGCCGCAGUAGUGGCAUACAUAAAUAACCUUUUUUGACACCUGGGAAUUUCAGUCUGAAUUAUCCCCAAGAGAAAGGACUCUGGCUUUUUUGGGAAAGUACUUUUAAACAUCCCCCCCCAAUUCCCAAUACAGUGGUACCUCAGGUUAAGUACUUCAUUCGUUCCGGAGGUCCGUUCUUAACCUGAAACUGUUCUUAACCUGAAGCACCACUUUAGCUAAUGGGGCCUCCUGCUGCCACUGUGCCGCCAGAGCACAAUUUCUGUUAUCAUCCUGAAGCAAAGUUCUUAACCUGAGGUACUAUUUCUGGGUUAGCGGAGUCUGUAACCUGAAGCGUAUGUAACCUGAGGUACCACUGUACUCCCAAUACUUUUACAAGUCCACCACAUAUGAAGGAAUGUUCUCUCUACCUCUUUGCAUCUCCAGCACUUAUCUGAUUCAGUCUUAUACAUCUUAGCAAGCCUACUCAGCGUUAAAUACCACCUGUGAAUCAUUUUCAGGUAGUUCUCCAAAAGCAGAGCAAGACGUUUGGCACCAGCUUGGCUCCAGGAGUUGCCAACUGCUUUAGGGACUCAAGGCAGCAGGUACAGAUUUUUCCUCAGGGUUUACUCCCAAAGCCUUCCUCAUGAAUUGAAUAUAGUCACAAGGCAAUGGAAUGCCUUCCAUAGUUCUAGUUACAGGUAGGUAGCCAUGUUGGUCUGCCGUAGUCGAAACAAAAUAAAAGAAAUUCCUUCCAGUAGCACCUUAGAGACCAACUAAGUCUCUGAAGAACUUUAGUAUCUGAAGAAAUGUGCAUGCACACGAAAGCUCAUACCAAUAACAAAUUUAGUUGGUCUCUAAGGUGCUAGUAGAGGGACGCGGGUGGUGCUGUGGGUUAAACCACAGAGCCUAGGACUUGCCGAUCAGAAGGUCGGUGGUUCAAAUCCCUGCAACGGAGUGAGCUCCCGUUGCUCGGUCCCUGAUCCUGCCAACCUAGCAGUUCAAAAGCACGUCAAAGUGCCAGUAGAUAAAUAGGUACCAUUCCGGAGGGAAGAUAAAUGGCGUUUCCGUGCGCAGCUCUUGUUCACCAGAAGUGGCUUAGUCAUGCUGGCCACAUGACCCAGAAGCUGUAUGCCGGCUCCCUUGGCCAAUAAAGCAAGAUGAGCACCGCAACCCCAGAGUCGAUCACGACUGGACCUAAUGGUCAGGGAUCCCUUUACCUUUUUUAAGGUACUAGUGGAAGGAAUUUUUUUAUUUUGUUUCGACUAUGGCAGACCAACAUGGCUAGAACUAUGGAAGGCACCACAUUGAGCCACAUGAAAUGGAAGUCCAGGUAUUUGAAGAAGUGUGCAUGUACACGAAAGCUCAUACCAAUAACAAACUUAGUUGGUCUCUAAGGUGCUACUGGAAGGAAUAUUUUUAUUUUGUUUUGAAGGUAAUGGAAAUUUAGGAUCAGGGCUUUCCUUCUCCAAGAAGGGCUGCCUUCCCAGGCUGAGGAGACCCAUCAGCCCCUUAUACACUUUAGAAGGGGUCACCGGCAGUGGGGUCUCUUCCUCUAGCUGAAACUAUAUACAGUGGUACCUCGGGUUAAGUACUUAAUUCGUUCCGGAGGUCCGUACUUAACCUGAAACUGUUCUUAACCUGAAGCACCACUUUUUCUAAUGGGGCCUCCCGCUGCUGCUGCGCCACCGCUGCAUGAUUUCUGUUCUCAUCCUGAAGCAAAGUUCUUAACCUGAAGCACUAUUUCUGGGUUAGCGGAGUCUGUAACCUAAAGCGUAUGUAACCUGAGGUACCACUGUAUAAUGAAGCAUUCUAUUUUAGCCAAACAAACAGCUCGUGGUGUGUACUUGGUUGCAGUCUGUUGCAGUUUGUGGUCACCACAGAAGUUCAGUUUGCAAAUGUGUCCACAGUUCCUCAAAGGUUGGUGACCCCUGGUCUAGCAACUUAUUUUUUAAAAAUAAUUUAAUUUGUAGAUGAAUGCAUCUUCUCCUCUGAAUUGAUGUACAGUGGUACCUCGGGAUGCGAAAAGGAUCCAUUCCGGAGCCCCGUUUGCAUCCUGAAUAGAACGUAAGACGCGACGGCACGUCUGUGCGUGUGUCGCGUUUUGCCGCUUCUGCGCAUGGCGUCAUUUUGAGAGUCUGCGCAUGCGCGAGCGGUGAAACCCAGAAGUAAUGCGCUCCGUUACUUCCGGGUUGCCGCGGAGUGCAACCCAAAAGAACUCAACCUGAAGCACAUUCAACCCGAGGUAUGACUUUAUUUAUAUUUAUUUAUUACUCUUGUAUGCCAGCUUUCAACCACAUUGCUCAGAAUGAUGUCCUUGGUUCAACUCUCCUUAUUUUAUCCUCAGGAAAAUGUUUUGAGGUAGGCUUGGUCCACAACCUGGGGCUGAAUUCAGGUCCGAAUUCACUUCCAUUCAACCUUUGCUAUGAUUUCAAAGCUUGCAAUAGGGUGCCCGGACCCGCAGUUCCACAGAAAGCAGAAUCCAUAUAAGCAUUAGCUCGGCUUGAUUAUCCUUUUGCCCAUAUCUGAUCCACAGCCUGAAUCACAUCUGCUGAGCAUGAGCCACAUUUUGUAUAUGCAUGGCAAUUAUGUCGACAGCUAACCUUUUCAAUAUCCGCCCCCCCCUUUUGUCAUAUAUUUUUCCUGAUCUCUCUUAAGGCCCCAUAAUCAUUUCCCACACGGCUAAUCUUUUUCUUCACAGAUCUCAUUCUUGCAUUUAAUUUUCACUGUGGAUUCAUGUACUUCCUAAAUUCCUUAAAUCGCUACAUCAUUAAGCAGAGCACCUUCCCUUAUUUCCUAAAGUACAAUUACCAAAGUAGCUUUUUAUCUCUCUUUAAUUUGUUCGUGCUAAAAUGACCAGAUGAUAUUGAAGGAACAGACUGUAUCUCAGUACAUUUGCUACAUAUUUGAGAGAACAGAGCAGUAGACUUGGGCUGGCCAGAUGUGGGUUCAAAUUCCCAGUCAUCUAUGAAGAACCCAGGACAAAUUAUUAUCACUCAGCUAGGGGAGGCAUUUUCAAUUUAUCCUAGUUUCUCACUUUUCCUUUCUUAUGUUCAGUUUUUUUACAUUUCCACAUCCAUUUGUAAUUUUGUACCAGUUGUUUUGAAAAUUCAUUGGCAGAUUUCUAAGAAAGACACAUUUUCUGUAUAACUAUAUCUAAUGUACAUGUUUUUGCAAAUAUUUCCCUCCCAAUAUACUGAAUGCUAGUUUCACUAAUAUAUGCAGUGAUAUCAGACCCUCAAAGUGUCCCUAUUUUCCAGGGAUGUCCCUGAUUUAGAGAAGCCAUCCUGGUUGCUGAUUUGAUCCUGGAAUGUCCCACUUUUCCUUAGGAUGUCCCUAUUUUCACUGGAGAAAUGUUGGAAGGUAUGGAAUUAUCUGACCCCCAAGCCAAUUGAAGGCAAUCCUGUAUAGGGAAGUUCUUCAAACAUUUAAUGUUUUAUUAUGUUUUUAUAUACUGUACGUUGGAAGCUGCCCAGAGUGGCUGAAGCAAUCCAGUAAGAUGUGUGGGGUAGAGUCGGUGGAGGAGGAUUGGAAGAAAUUCAAAGACUAUUUACAGAAACACUACAAAAUUAAAGAAUGCUAGAGUGAUGUUGGAUGGAAAAUAAGUGGUUUCCAGCUGUACAGGAUUUAAAGUUAUAAAUAGAUUAAGAUUAAAGAUUAGGAUUAAAGAAGUUUAAGGAAAUGGAAAUUUGGUAUUUUAAGAGGUAAAAUUUUAAUGCUAUAUUAUAUUAAAGAUUAAAGAUUGGGAUUAAAAAGUGGAAAAGAAAUUGCUGGACAAACAAUUUGGACUGGAAUACAAAAGAGGGAGGUAUGAGGAGGUCCAGAAAAUAAGUAAAUUUAAACACGGAAAUGAAAAGGUGAUUGUCUUUAAUUGUUCUGUUUCUUUUUUAUUCUUUCUUUGGAUUAUGUCCUGUGUAUUUGUGUAUUUCCUUUUUAUGUGUAUUUGUGUAUUUCUUUUUUAUGUUUUUCUGUUUAAUUUUUUACUGAAAACUCAAUAAAAAAUUAUUUUAAAAAAAAGAUGUGUGGGGUAUAAAUAGUAAAAUUAUCGUUAUGGAAUGGGUCUUCCUUAUUUUUAUCGGAGAAAUGUUGGAGGGUAUGUAAUAUGCAUAAUUUGCCCUAGGACGUGCAUUUUUGUUCACAUUACUUGGACAGACAACUGCACUGAAAAAUUUGGAGAAGUGUCAGUUCUGAAGGAUACCGGGUACUCUUUUAGAAAAUGUGAAUUAGGUUAAGUUUGCCUUUAAAUGCAAACUGAAAAAAAUUCUGCCCCAUUCCUACCCUCAACCCAACUGACUUUAAAAUGAUUGUUGUGGGAAAUACCAUGAGACCUUCAUGUAUGCAACCCAGGCUUUUAUGACAGUAACUCAAAUCUAGAAAAACUCAAAAUGUUCCAUAAGUGGUAUUAGUUAGAGAAGCUGUGGUCUAAACCACCGAGCCUCUUGAGCCUGCCAAUCAGAAGGUCGGCAGUUUGAAUCCCCGUGACGGGGUGAGCUCCCUUUGUCUGUCCCAGCUCCUGCCAACCUAGCAGUUCUAAAACAUACCAGUGCCAGCAGAUAAAUAGGUACCACUGCAGCGGGAAGGUAAACAGCUUUUCCAUCACUGUGUCCCAUUGCACCAGAAGCAGUUUAGUCCUGCUGGCCACAUGACCGGAAAGCUGUCUGUGGACAAACGCCUGCUCCCUUGGCCUGAAAGCGAGAUGAUUGCCACAACCCCAUAGUUGCCUUUGAGUGGACUGAACCGUCCGGGGGUCCUUUGUCUUUACCUGGUUAGAAAAACAAGACCAACGAUAACAGAAUGGAAGACACUUAAUGAUAGAAUAUUUCCAACUAGCAAAGUUGACGGGAAAAGUAAGGGGAGCUUUAAAUCAGAAAACGUAUGGAGAAUGGAAAAUAUUUAAGGAAUACAUAAGAUUAUAUUGUAAAAAUAAUACCAUCCUAGCAGAACUUGAAUGAUACUUGUGAACAAAAAGGAAUGAAACAAAUGCUUUAGUGUGAUAUAUGAAAAAGGAUAUAAAGCUGUGCGAUAAAACCAUGACAACAGAAACAGUAUAAUUGGAUUGGAAGUUUUAUGCAGAAAUUUUUAUUUGAAAGCUAUGAUUUUGUAUAACUUUUUGGCUUUUUUUCUUUUUUCUUCUUUUCUUUUUUGCCUUUUUAAAUUUUUCCCACUUUUAUGUCUUGAUGUUUUCUUCCUUUUGUAUUUAACUUUUCUAUAUGUACUUUCGUUGUCGUUUGUAUUUUAAAUCAAUAAAUAUUUACCACGAAAAAAAAGCAUUUUUGGAGAGUAUACCAAGUAAGAAACAGAAACUUAGAACAACUGUCACAAUAAAGUACCGAAAGAAUCUUGCUUCUCCAAGGCCAACUUGACAGGUGAAUGGCACUCUUGCAUUGCAUCCUGUUAUGCCUAUUGGUGUGGUUGCUCGAGAACGAUCAGGCAAGAUGCCACACUGGUCUUGUCAAAAGCUUUAUUAUUGGUGCUAAAACCUUUACAAUGCAGAAUGCCUCUAUUCCAUGUCUUGCUCACUGGCAGAAUCUGAGCGUGGGCGGUCCUUAAACUUUCCCCAGCAGAGUAGUUUCUUGACCCCCAGCCUACGCCUCCCCUCUCUCCCCUCUCUGCGUGAAAGCCUGCUGCGCAAGGAAGGCUUGGGUAAAGGGGAACCUCCUUCCUCCCCGCUUUGCUCAGGCAAGGUGUCCUGGCACCGCCUUGCCUCCUCUGAGCACAACAGUACAUUUCCGAGCACAAUUCAAAGUAUUGGUGCUGACCUUUAAAGCCCUAAAUGGCCUCGGUCCUGUAUACCUGAAGGAGCGUCUCCACCCCCAUCGUUCUACCCAGACACUGAGGUCCAGCUCCGAGGGCCUUCUGGUGGUUCCCUCACUGCGAGAAGCCAAGUUACAGGGAACCAGGCAGAGGGCCUUUUCGGUAGUGGCGCCUUCCCUGUGGAACGCCCUCCCACCAGAUGAGAACAACAACUAGAAGACAUCUGAAGGCAGCCCUGUUUAGGGAAGCUUUUAAUGUUUGAUGUAUUAGAGUAUUUUAAUAUAUUUUUUUGGAAGCCGCCCAAAGUGGCUGGGGAAGCCCAGCCAGAUGGGCGGGGUACAAAUAAUAAAUUAUUAUUAUUAUUAUUAUUAUUAUUAUUAUUAUUAUUAUUAUCCGAGCCUUGCAGCUCUUCCCCACUAGAGGCGUGGCUUCCUUCCUCCGCUGAGGAAGUGCUGCUUCCCACGAUUUUCUGAGGCUCUCUGUAAUCCGUCUGCCUUUCCCCCUCUCGCCUCUGAGCCGAUGGCAGUUCCCUGACACAACCUCUGUGCCCUAGUUAAAUAUGGAAAAGUUAUUGACUAGAGUAACAGGAUCACAUUGAAGGGCAGUUGGCAAGGAUGCCUUUUAUUUUACCCGUGUGAGAUCAGUGUAUUAUUGUAUUUCAUUAUUGUAAACACUACACAGAAACAUUUCUUUUAGAAAUGACCAGGCUAUCCCAGCACUGCUCAUCUCUGAAUUUGCCCUCCCGGUUUCCAGAAUGUCCCUAGAAAAAACAUGUCAUUUCAUGUUUAUACCUUAUCCUUUAUUCAGUGUGAAACAUUAUCACCAAUGCUUUAGAUGAUACGUAUCCAUAUUGCAAAGGAAGCCACUCAUCUCAUCAUUUGUUAAUUUGCCUCUUUCAAGAUAUUUCCCCUGUGAUUAAAUCCUCUUUCCACGAUUUCUGCAAAGGUGGUGAUAGAUAACAGUAGUUUGGGGUUUCCAACAAACUACUUCUUCUUUUCUUGCCGACUGAGGGAAAACAGCUUUUGAGUGAUAAUUAAGUGAAAUUGGCAGAAGGGAUUUGAUAAGCGUAGCUUCUUAAUACUCCAACAUAAUUAAGUUAUAUGAAAUCUAUUGCAAAUCACAGCCUUUUUCCAAAGCAAAGAUAGCAAAACUAUUUAAAGGGUUUAAUUUUACAGGUGCUCAGAAUAUAGGACUGCAAAUAUUUAUUGACAUAUUCCUUCCAAUUUAAUUUUUUUUUUUUUUAAAGUAACAAGCAUAAAAGAUUGGGAGAAGAAAUCAUAAUUGAAGAUCAGCAAAUUGCUCAUUUUCCUUGCCUUCUUUCUUUUAACUGACUUAGUGGCAGACAGUGAGAAAUAAUUGUAAGAGCUAGCAGCUACUUUUACGACAUUACAGUGAGUUCUUAAAAAAAACCAAAAACCUGGGGAAAGUGGGGAAAGCAUAAACAAUAUUGGCACUAAGAAUGGAUUGAGCACUUCUGUUCAUUGAGAGGAGACUGUUGUGACAGUCCUAACUACAUUAUUCUUAAGCCUCCACCGUGUUAAUAUAUUUAGCAUUUUAAAAUACUUUGCAUUGGUGGCAAGGAAUAUUUUAUGUAAGUGCUGCAAAAAUCAAAUGUGUGAAAUCUUUGAACAUGAUGUAAGAUGGAAGGCAGGUAAGGAAAUUAUUUCCUGAGCUGACCCACAAGAUGCCACAGUUUGAGGGUAUACUGUGUCAAUGUACUACUGUCAGUCACUCUUCUCCAGGAUGAAGAGGAACCAUUGAUGAGCACCCUUUGGGUUCGGUCAGUCAGCCAGUUACAAAUCCACUGAGUGGUAGCAUAGUCAAGACCACAUUUUACCAGCUUCUUUACAAGAAUAUCAUGAGGCACCUUGUCAAAUGCCUUGCUGAAAUCAAGGUAGGCUACAUCCACUUCAUCUACCAGGCUUGUAAUUCUGUCAAAAAACGAGAUCAGGUUAGUCUGACAUGACUUAUUUUUCAGAAAUCCAUGCUGACUAUUGGUGAUCACAGCAUUCCUUUCUAGGUGCUCACAGACUGUUUGCUUAAAUGUGUCCCCCAUUUAUUAUGAUCUCUUUAUUUGUCUUCUUAUACAUCUUUCCCUAAUUCCUUUGAUCGUCAAAGGCUUUCUCUGCUUUGCUUAAUUAAGCGACAUGUUUCAUUAAUGUGCAGGCUGUGGAAAUCUGGAGUUCAGAUGUGAAGCAUAUUAAAUGACACAGAUUUAGCCACAGCUGAACUGGAAUGAAGUUGCAUAAGUUCUUGCUAAAAGAGGAUCCACCUCCUGCCCCUACUUCAAAGUAAACAUAAUUCCAGCAAGUUGAUGCAUGUGGAGUACAGGGUUAGGUUUAAGGUGCUGGUUUUGACCUUUAAAGCCCUAUGCCUACAGGACCGCCUCUCCUGGUAUGCCCCACGGAGGACCUUAAAGUCCACAAAUGACAUCACCUUGGAGGUGCCACGUCACAAGGUGGUUAGAUUGGUCUCAACUAGGGCCAGGGCCUUUUCAGUACUGGCCCCGACUUGGUGGAAUGCUCUGUCACAAGAGACUAGGGCCCUGCGGCACUUGACAUCUUUCCACAGGGCCUGCAAGACAGAGCUCUUCCGCCUGGCCUUUGGUUUGGACUCAGUCUGACCCUUAUGUUUCCCUCCCCUUAUGGUUUUGAUCCAUGGGAUACUAUUAAAAUGAGGCUGCAUUUAAAAUUAUAUUUUAACCUGUAUUUUAAUUUGGGUUUUUUUAUUGUAAUUUUACUGGUGUUAGCCGCCCUGAGCCUGGCUCUGGCCGGGGAGGGUGGGGUAUAAAUUAUUGUUGUUGUUGUUGUUGUUGUUGUUGUUGUUGUUUAUUACCCUACCAUAAAAGAUCUGCCAUAGAGUGAAGGGGAAUUCUAUGCCAAGCAUAACACCUCAAGAUUAGCAGUCUAAUGUGUAUCAGCUGUAGCUUAGGCACAUGAAGGUAGAAAGUAUCCCAUAGUAAGAAGCUGGAACUGUACAACAGUAGAUAUAACAUGCUUGUGGUUAGACUAGGACAAUUGUCUUCACCCUUUCCAGAUCUUUAGCCUAAAUGUCAUGCUUUUUAUCAUAUAUUUGUUUGGUAGCAAUACUGCUGUUUCAACCAAGUUGUGGGGUUCGGAUCCACCAAUUAAAGACUAACAGAUUAGAGCAAGAAUGGAAAAAUAAUAAUUACAAAUGCCUUGAUUUUCUUCUGAAUGAUUUUCUAAUGGGGUGAGUGUCAUCACAAAGUCACCCCCAUUGUUGGAUAAGCAUUUUAGGAUUACCAGUGUUUUUGCAUAGGCAAUGAAAGUUCCAAACUGUUUUAUUUAUACUUUCCAAUUUUAUACAUUUCACUAGCUUUAUACAUUUCACUAAUUUUACAGUCAUUUUGACAUUUCAAAACUUGACUUUCAUCACCCUCUUUCUGCAGUUCCUUAAAUUUGUUUUUAAUAUCUUCUGCAUAUCCAGAUUAACUUAAUUUACUCAUUUAUUCAUCUUCUUUAAAUAUAUACUCUUAUAAAACUGCAGGUUGUUACAAUAAUCCUGCCAAUGUUUUUAUCUGUUUAUAUUUUUUCCCUGUAAAUAGUCAAUAAACCAUUUCCAUUCUUCUAUAUCUAUUUAAAAUAUGAUAUCUUGAUUUCUUAUCCUUCCGGUAAGUUUUACCAUUUCUGCAUAUUCCGUAAGUUUUUGUAUCCAUCCUUCCUUUGCUGGGACUUCUGCUUCUUUCCAUUUUGGGGCAAGUAACAUUCUUGAAUAAGUUUCUAACAAAGAAAGCUAUGAACUUGCUCCCUUGAGGAGGAUCAUCUGUUAUAAAAAAGGUAACAGAAGUAGAAUAGCUCACCUCAAAAUACCUUUGUAAAAGAUGCAAGAUAGCAGGGUCAAAAAGAAUGAGAGAAAUCCUUUUCUAUGCAGUUAUCUGCACAUAGCUACAGAAAAUGUGAAGGGGGGAAAACCCUCAUACUCAAUACCGUCCUCACAGGACAACAUUAUUAGCAUAGCCUGAUGCCUGACAAAAGACCCCACUUUGUGUGAGGUUCUUAUAAGUGUAAGAGAGAGAGAAACUAAGACAAGACAUGGGCAAGAAAGCCAAGAAAACGAACCAUUUUAAUAAGAGUCACAGAUACCAUCUGGCUGCACAGAAAGGACAGUCCAGGUUUCUGUUCAGAGACAUCCUCUUGCUUAAAAUGCAGAACACAUAUAGGAUAAAGUACCGGAAAAAAAUCUUGCUUCUCCAAGGCCAACUUGACAAGUGAAUGGCAGUCUUGCAUUGCAUCUUCUGUGCCCCAGUUAAAUAUGGAAAAGUUAUUAACUAGAGUAGCAGGAUAACAUGCAAGGACAGUUGGCAAGGAUGUCCUUUAUUUUACCCGUGUAUGAUCAGUGUAUCCUGUCCUCAGCCUGCAUCGCCAUUUGCUUCAGUACUUCCCAGAGUGCAACUCAAUGACCAGAAAGGGCAGUCAUGUGAUGGACAGGCCAUGGUUUUGCCUCCUGGUUGCUACCAAUCACAAGUACACACAGAGAGAAGUUUAACCUGGAAUCCUACAAUUUAAUGGGGAUAUAGUUAAAGCUAUGGUUUUCCCAGUAGUGAUGUAUGGAAGUGAGAGCUGAACCAUAAAGAAGGCUGAUCGCCGAAGAAUUGAUGCCUUUGAAUUAUGGUGUUGGAGGAGACUCUUGAGAGUCCCAUGGACUGCAAGAAGAUCAAACCGCUCCAUUCUUAAGGAAAUCAGCCCUGAGUGCUAACUGGAAGGACAGAUCCUGAAGCUGAGGCUCCAAUACUUUGACCACCUCAUGAGAAGAGAAGACUCCUUGGAAAAGACCCUGAUGUUGGGAAAGAUGGAGGGCACAAAGAGAAGGGGACGACAGAGGACAAGAUGGUUGGACAGUGUUCUCAAAGCUACCAGCAUGAGUUUGACCAAACUGUGGGAGGCAGUGGAAGACAGGAGUGCCUGGCAUGCUCUGGGCUAUGGGGUCACGAUGAGUCGGACACGACUAAACGAUUAAACAACAACAAGGGAUUUGACUCUUGUCAAAGAGGGCCUAAUUACAGGGUGGGCUGUUGGGGUUCGAACUCUCCAGGUGGGAUUGGCUAGGCAGAGCAAGCUGGUUUGGAUUUCCUCAGGAGAAAGUACUGUAUUUUUCGCUCUAUAAGACGCACCAGACCAUAAGACGCACCUAGUUUUUGGAAGAGGAAAACAAGAAAAAAAUAUUCUGAAUCCCAGAAGCCAGGACAGCAAGCCGGAUCGUUGCACAGUGAUCCCACUGGCUGGCCUGGCUUAUGGGAUAGCCGUGCGCAGCCUCUCCCAGGAAAGGGGAGCCUUCAUCCCCUGCCCGGGAGAGGCUCCCCUAAGAGCAGCGCUCCCUUUAAAGAGCGGGCGGAGUGUGUGUGCGGCUCUUUAAAGGGAGCGCUGAGCAGAGCCUCCCACCUGCAUUCGCUCCAUAAGACGCACACACAUUUCCCCUUACUUUUUAGGAGGGGAAAAGUGUGUCUUAUAGAGCGAAAAAUACGGUAAAUGCUAUAAGGGCUGAAUGAGAGUUGCUGGUUGAACACUGAUCGUCGUUCUAGGUGGUAAAAGUCUUCUAGUCAGCCUAAGAGGUGCAAAUGAUUGUGGAAUAGGGAUAUAAAAUUUACAGCAUGCUGUGGUUUAAGAGAAAAUAAUACAAAAAUGAUAUAUCAAUGGUAUCUAACACUGAGUAAACUGGCCAAAAUGUAUAAAACUAAAUCAAAUAAGUGUUGUAUAGAGAAAGAUGGUUCUUUUUGUCAUAUGUGGUGGUCUUGCAGUAAGGUUAAGGCUUACUGGGAAAUGAUAUAUAAUAAUAAUAAUAAUAAUAAUAAUAAUAAUAAUAAUAAUAAUUUAUUAUUUGUACCCCGCCCAUCUGGCUGGGUUUCCCCAGGAAAAUGAAAGGAAUGAAAGGAAAAUGAAAAUGAAAGGAAAAGGAUAUUUAAAAUAACGUUGGUAAAAACAACAACCCAGAAGCUUUUCUUUUGGGAAUUAUAGGGACAGAACUACCUAAAUUGUAUAGAAAUUUAUUCACAUACACAACUACAGCAGCAAGAAUGUUACUUGCCCCCAAACGGAAAGAAGCAGAAAUCCCAGCAAAGAAAGAAUGGAUACAAAAACUUAUGGAAUAUGCAGAAAUGGUGAAAAUUACUGGAAGAAUAAGAAGACAACAAACUUUUUUUAAAGAAUAGAAAUGGUUUAUUGAAUAUUUACAGAUAAAUUGUAAACAGAUAAAAACACUGGCAGGAUUAUUGUAAUAACCUGCAGCUAUAUAAGAGUAUAUAAAUAAAGACGAUAAUUAAAUACACAGGUUAAUUUAAUUUGGAUAUGCAGAAGAUAUUAAAAAUAAAUUUAAGAAAGAGGGGGAAGGAAGUGAAAUUUUAAAAUUCAAAAUGAAUGUAAAAUCAGUGAAAUGUAUAUAUCUGAAAAGUAUAUAUAAAAUCUAUAAAAAAGAGUUUUCAGCAAAGCACAUCUCAAGCAUUCCUAACAGAAAUCGUUUCCUCCCUAAAAGAGGGCACAUGUUGCGGUGAGACCUGGAGACUGACCUCCUGUGUUGCGGGUGGGUUGGAUUGGUUUGCCACAACACCCGAUUGGUAGGUCCCUUGAUGUUGGGUUCAAUCUGACCAAUGGGGUGCAGUCCAAAUGGAUCAAGGGACCUAUUUAUGCCCAUGCAUGUGACCCAGAGCUUCCUCUUUCGGCUUGUGCAUUUGGAACACCCGCCCACCUCUCCCUAAUUUUCGGGCUUUGUAUGAUUGACCUUUCUGUGCCGUUGUGUGUCGUCUGUCAUUGGGACAGGGGCAUGGUAGGAAUUUCCCCACUUGGCUGAUUGGCUGUGGCCAUUUGGGUUUCGCCUGCCGUGUAGCAAAUCGUCACAACUUGUAAGGUUGCGGAUAGGCUCUGGUUUAGGUGAUAGAGAUGGGAGAACACUCUCGCCAGCCCUAUGUGAAGGGUAUUCCAUUAAAGGAAUCCAGGAACUCAAUGGUUUGGUCAAGCCCUGAGAGAGGGUUGUGCCCGUGCCUGAGUCCAGGGGGACAUUUGGGUGGCGGAGAUAGCCUGUUCCCGGCUUUCUGCUUCUCCAGGUGUUCACCCUUGGCUGACCUAUGCUGGUGCCCUGGGUCAGCGCUACCUGCAACAGUGCAGGGAACUAGUUGAACUAGAGCCUAUGCAACCACUCACCUUCUGUAAUCAAUAAAGUUGUGGCCUAAAUUCUGCCAAAAACCAAAACUAAAAUUUGAGUCAUGUGUGUAUUUAUUUAGGGGGGAGGUCUCUGGGUCUGAACACGCAAAGCCUUCUCCAAUAUACUCUUAUGAAUUGGCAAAGCUCUCUGAGGCAGCCCAGUGCAUUCAAAAGCUGCAACUUUCAUGGUGCAGGAAGGGAAAGAAGAGUAUGAAUUGGGGCCACCAUACACUAAGAGAGAAACCUAAAGACCCUCCAAAUAUCCCGAUUUUCCAGGGACAGUUCUGGAUUCACAGAAGCCAUCUUGGUUUAUUAUUUGAUCCCAGAAUGUCCCAAUUUUCCUUAGGACAUCACUAUUUUCGUCAGAGGAAUGUUGGAGGGAAUGGAGUUAUGUGACCCCCGAGCCAGGGACAUAACUAUGCAAGGUAUUUUUAAUGUUUUAUUGUGUUUUUAUAUAUGUUGGAAACUGCCCAGAUUGGCUGGGGCAACCUAGUCAGAUGGGUGGGGCAUAAAGUAUAUAUACAUAUAUAGAUAGAUAGAUGAUAGAUAGAUAGAUAUAGAUAUAGAUAUAGAUAUAGUUAUAGAUAUAGAUAUAGCUAUAGAUAUAGAUAUAGAUAUAGAUAUAGAUAUAGAUAUAGAUAUAUAGAUAUAUAGAUAUAUAUAGAUAUAUAUAUAAUAGGACGUCCCUAUUUUCGGAGGAAUGAUGGAGUUCUGGCUAAGCCAGUACACUUCUGGCUAGGUGGAAGUUCUUCUCCAGUCUAUGUUUGUAGGUAAUAGUGCCUUUCCUUCCAGAAGGCCCAUUUGCAACAUUAGUCAAUGACUCCUCUUGAAAAACAGCUGGAGUGAUGCUUCUGUAAAAUCUUUUUGCUCUGAUUUACUUCAUUUGGCACUCUGAUAAUUAUCUGGGCUCUAACUCAGGGCAAAAUCAUCACACACAGAGACAGUCCUAAUCUUUGUAUAUGUUUUCUCUAAAAGGAAACAUUUCGUAGCAGUAUGCAUCAUUUUAGAAAAGCAUUAUUCUUCCACUAAGCUGUUUAUAGGCAUUAAGUAGGAAAAACACCGUUGAUCACUUUUUUUCUUGGGUAGAUGAAGCAAAAUGUCCUUGUUAGUUAACAGGGUUUGCCUUUUGCCUGCUCUUUCUGUUUCCCUCUUCAAUACAGCUUUCUAUAAUUUUGUGUGAAGACAUAUAAAAUGUAUACCCUUGUAGCCUUAUUAGACUUUACCCAUUGGUGGGGUCUGCGUUGCUCCCGGACGGGAGGAAGGAAGUCAAAUGACACUGAGGUUGAUUCAGAGAAAGAGUUUAUUUUGCUCUCCGGAUAGCAGAAAGGCACUUGCGUGGUCAGUUCACAGCAAGUCCAAAUAAAUGAGAAAUUUCAUGCAAUAUAUAUAUCCUCCCCCCUUCAUGGAUCACUGCCUUGCCGUGGCGAAGGGGCUUGAAGAACUCAGAGAAGCUAUGAACUAUGCUGAGUAGGGCACCCAAGAUGAACAGGUCAUAGUGGAGAGUUUUGACCAAACGUGAUCCACCUGGAGGAGGAACCGGCAAGCCACUCCAGUAUCCCUGCCAAGAAAACUCCAUGGACAAAGACAACAGGCAUAUAAAAGAUGAGCCCCUCAGGUCGGAAGGUGUCCAACAUGCUACUGGGGAAGAGCGGAGGACAAGUACAAGUAGAUCUAGAGCUGAUGAAGCGGCUGGGCCAAAGCCGAAAGGACGCUCAGUUGCGGAUAUGCAUGGAAGUGAAAGGAAAGUCCAAUGCUGCAAAGAAAAAUAUUGCAUAGGAACCUGGAAUGUAAGAACCAUGAACCUGGGUAAGUUGGAUGUGGUCAAAAAUGAGAUGGCAAGAAUAAAUAUUGACAUCCUGGGCAUCAGUGAACUAAAAUGGACGGGAAUGGGCGAAUUCAGUUCGGAUGACUAUCAUAUCUACUACUGUGGGCAAGAAACCCGUAAAAGAAAUGGAGUAGCCCUCAUAGUCAACAAAAGAGUGGCGAAAGCUGUACUGGGAUGCAAUCUCAAAAAUGAUAGAAUGAUCUCGAUACGAAUCCAAGGCAGACCUUUUAACAUCACAGUAAUCCAAGUUUAUGCACCAACUACUGGUGCUGAAGAAACUGGAAUUGACCAAUUCUAUGAAGGCUUACACGACCUUAUAGAAGCGACACCAAAGAAGGAUGUUCUUCUCAUUAUAGGGGAUUGGAAUGCUAAAGUAGGGAAUCAAGAGAUAAAAGGAAUAACUGGCAAGUUUGGCCUUGGAGAUCAAAACGAAGCAGGGCAAAGGCUAAUAGAGUUCUGUCAAGAGAACAAGCUGGUCAUCACAAACACGCUUUUCCAACAACACAAGAGACGACUCUACACAUGGACAUCACCAGAUGGGCAACAUCGAAAUCAGAUUGAUUAUAUUCUCUGCAGCCAAAGAUGGAGAAGCUCUAUACAGUCAGCAAAAACAAGACCUGGAGCUGACUGUGGCUCAGAUCAUCAGCUUCUUAUAGCAAAAUUCAAGCUUAAACUGAAGAAAGUAGGAAAGAAAGUACUGGGCCGGUAAGAUACAAUCUAAACCAAAUCCCUUAUGAAUACACAGUGGAAGUGAGGAACAGGUUCAAGGAUAUAGAUUUGCUGGACCGAGUGCCUGAAGAACUAUGGGUGGAGGCUCACAAAAUUAUACAGGAGGCAGCAACGAAAACCAUCCCAAUGAAAAAGAAAUGUAAGAAAGCAAAGUGGCUGUCCAACGAGGCCUUACAAAUAGCGGGGGAGAGAAGGCAAGCAAAAUGCGAGGGAGAUAGUGAAAGAUACAGGAAAUUGAAUGCAGAUUUCCAAAGAAUAGCAAGGAGAGACAAGAAGGCCUUCUUAAACGAGCAAUGCAAAGAAAUAGAGGAAAACAACAGAAUGGGAAGAACCAGAGAUCUGUUCAAAAAAAUCGGAGAUAUGAAAGGAAUAUUUCGUACAAAGAUUACCAUAAUAAAGGACAAAAGUGGUAAGAACCUAACAGAAGCAGAAGACAUCAAGAAGAGGUGGCAAGAAUACACAGAGGAAUUAUACUAGAAAGAUAUGGAUGUCUCGUACACCCCAGGUAGUGUGGUUGCUGACCUUGAGCCAGACAUCCUGGAGAGUGAAGUCAAAUGGGCCUUAGAAAGCACUGCAAAUAACAAGGCCAGUGGAAGUGAUGGUAUUCCAGCUGAACUAUUUAAAAUUUUAAAAGAUGAUGCUCUUAAGGUGCUACACUCAAUAUGCCAGCAAGUUUGGAAAACUCAGCAGUGGCCAGAGGAUUGGAGAAGAUCAGUCUACAUCCCAAUCCCAAAGAAGGGCAGUGCCAAAGAAUGCUCCAACUACCGCACAAUUGCACUCAUUUCACACGCUAGCAAGGUUAUGCUUAAAAUUCUACAAGGAAGGCUCAAGCAGUAUGUGGACCGAGAACUCCCAGAAGUGCAAGCUGGAUUUCGAAGGGGCAGAGGAACCAGAGACCAAAUUGCAAACAUGCCCUGGAUUAUGGAGAAAGCUAGAGAGUUCCAGAAAGACAUCUACUUCUGCUUCAUUGACUAUGCAAAAGCCUUUGACUGUGUCGACCACAGCAAACUAUGGCAAGUUCUUAAAGAAAUGGGAGUGCCUGAUCACCUCAUCUGUCUCCUGAGAAAUCUCUAUGUGGGACAAGAAGCUACAGUUAGAGCUGGAUAUGGAACAACUGAUUGGUUCAAAAUUGGGAAAGGAGUACGACAAGGCUGUAUAUUGUCUCCCUGCUUAUUUAACUUAUAUGCAGAAUUCAUCAUGCGAAAGGCUGGGCUGGAUGAAUCCGAAGCCGGAAUUAAGAUUGCCGGAAGAAAUAUCAACAACCUCAGAUAUGCAGAUGACACAACCUUGAUGGCAGAAAGUGAGGAGGAAUUAAAGAAACUUUUAUUGAGGGUGAAAGAGGAGAGCGCAAAAUAUGGUCUGAAGUGCAACAUCAAAAAAAUGAAGAUCAUGGCCACCUGUCCCAUCACCUCCUGGCAAAUAGAAGGGGAAGAAAUGGAGGUAGUAAGAGAUUUUACUUUCUUGGGCUCCAGGAUCACUGCAGAUGGUGACAGCAGUUGCGAAAUUAAAAGACGCCUGCUUCUUGGGAGAAAAGCAAUGACAAACCUAGACAGCAUCUUAAAAAGCAGAGACAUCACCUUGCCAACAAAGGUCGGUAUAGUUAAAGCCAUGGUUUUCCCAGUAGUGAUGUAUGGAAGUGAGAGCUGGACCAUAAAGAAGGCUGAUCGCCGAAGAAUUGAUGCUUUUGAAUUAUGGUGCUGGAGGAGACUCUUGAGAGUCCCAUGGACUGCAAGAAGAUCAAACGUAUCCAUUCUUAAGGAAAUCAGCCCUGAGUGCUCACUGGAAGGACAGAUCGUGAAGCUGAGGCUCCAAUACUUUGGCCACCUCAUGAGAGAGAAGACUCCCUGGAAAAGACCCUGAUGUUGGGAAAGAUGGAGGGCACAAGGAGAAGGGGACGACAGAGGAUGAGAUGGUUGGAUGGUGUUGUCGAAGCUACCACCAGGAAUUUGACCAAACUGCGGGAGGCAGUGGAAGACAGAAGUGCCUGGCGUGCUCUGGUCCAUGGGGUCACAAAGAGCUGGACAUGACUAAACGACUAAACAACAACAACAUAUAUAUCCUCCAGGCACCCUCUCCCCCUCUUCCCCAGGAAUCCAACCACGUCAGCUUAUACACGUAAGUUGACAUCCAUGACCAUAAACAGAUAUUCCUGUUCCGGUACUCUUGACCAUAAAAGGUUGUUCCUGUUCCUAUACUCUUAUCUUGGUGCAGGAGGUCACCAACUCUAAGAACACUCCUGGAGCCGUUCCCGGACAAGGUCUGUGCGUCAUUGUGGUCAGGAAGUAAGAUAAGACCCAGAUGUGCCAUCCCUGCUCCACUUUGGAAAGGACAAGGCCAUCCAUUGCCGUCACGGACUGAUAAAGGACAGGGCUUUGAGCACUUGUUUAUUUCUGUUUAUACAUUGACUCAAGAGCUCAAGUUAAUGCAUUUUAGAAAUGCUCCCUUGGAGAAGGAAAAUAAGGAUUUUGGGUCCCGUUUCAGACUGACUGCACAGAAACCCAUUCCUUCCCUCUUCACCCUGUCAAUUGUCCCUGUGCCAGUCAUGGGAUUAGGAAUCUGCACAAAUAUGGGACAAUAGAUUAAAAUGUAUCUGUGAUGGAAUAUUAUAGCUGUAGAACUAUUACCCCAACCACCCCAUGUCAAUUUCCAGAUGUUUCUUAAGUGGAUCAAAUUUAGAAACACAAUAAAAAGAAAUGGGAUAUGCCUCCAUUUGACUGUUCUGUUGUUGUUUAGUCAUUUAGUCAUGUAGAACUCUUCAUGACCUCAUGGACCAGAGCAUGCCAGGCACUCCUGUCUUCCACUGCCUCCCGCAGUUUGGUCAAACUUACGUUGGUAACUUCAAGAACACUAUCCAACCAUCUCGUCCUCUGUCGUCCCCUUCUCCUUGUGCCCUCAGUCUUUCUCAGCAUCAGGUUCUUUUCCAGGGAGUCUUCUCUUCUCAUGAGGUGGCCAAAGUAUUGGAGCCUCAGCUUCAGGAUCUGUCCUUCCAGAGAGCCAAUCAUCGCAACUGCAAGUAAAUAAUGUUCUUCCAUGCUCAAGUACAGUGAAUACUAGCGUUUUUGAGAAAUGAUCUGGGGGUGGGGAAGGUUUUGAAAUCUGAUAGGUAUUCAUUGUGUUCUGAGGUCCCCAGGUGCCUGUAGCAGCUGUUAUAGUCAGAUCAACGAGCUACAAUAAGUCCCCUUCGAGCACUUUCAACGCAACCAUUUACCACCUCUGCUCACCCACUCAUCUUCCAACUGCACACCCUGGCUUCUUGAAACAAUAGACAUGAACAAGAAAGUCAUAACAAAGGGAAGUUAUAGUAAUUUCCUUGUUUCCCUUGUCACAGCUAGGGAGAGGAGAGUUAAUCAUUGCAUAACCUCUGCUGGAAUCUCUGUUGUGCAGCAAUUAGGCAUGAAAACAGUCUCCCAUCGCUGCCAAGGGGAGGCUUUUUUCAAACCUAAUUAGUCCAUGGGGGGACAUUUGAGGCGGGAAGCAACUGGAUUGCUUAGGGAUUUUUUCAAAAAAAUAUUUCCCGCCGGUUAAGUUGCUGAGGGCUGAUUUCUUGUCCUGUGAUAAAAAGCCUUCUGUUUCCAUCGCCAAAGCUUUCAGGGGAGCAUUUGCAACCGGUCGGAACAAUUUUGAGUGAAUUGUCAAAAGUCAGAUUUUUGCUGAAAUUGUGACCCCGGGGCUUAGGGGUUUUUUCAAAAAAAUCUUUUUCUGCUGGUUAAGUUGUCGAGGGCUGAUUUCUUGUCCUGUGAUAAAAAGCCUUCUGUUUCCAUCGCAAAAGCAUUCAGGGGAGCAUUUGCAACCGCUUGGCACCAUUUUUGAAUGAAUUGUCAAAAGUCAGAUUUUUGCUGAAAUUGUGACCCCAGGGCUUAGAGAUUUUUUCUAAAAAAUCUUUCCACCGGGUUAAGUUGUUGAGGGCUGAUUUCUUGUCCUGUGAUAAAUGCCUUCUGUUUCGAAGGCCAAACCUUUCAGGGGAGCAUUAGCAACCGGUUGGCACCAUUUUUGAGUGAAUUGCCAAAAGUCAGAUUUUUGCUGAAAUUGUGACCCCGGGGCUUAGCGAUUUUUUCAAAAAAAACAUUUUCCGCCCGUUUAGUAGUUGAGGGCUGAUUUCUUGUCCUGUGAUAAAAAGUCUUCUGUUUCUACUGCCAAACCUUUCAGGGGAGCAUUAGCAACCGGUUGGCACCAUUUUUGAGUGAAUCGCCAAAAGUCAGAUUUUUGAUGAAAUUGUGACCCCGGGCAUAGCGAAUUUUUCAAUAAAAUCUUUUCCGCCGGUUAAGUUGUUGAGGGCCGAUUUCUUGUCCUGUGAUAAAAAGCCUUCUGUUUUGAACGCCAAACCUUUCAGGGGAGCAUUAGCAACCGGUUGGCACCAUUUUUGACUGAAUUGCCAAAAGUCAGAUUUUUGCUGAAAUUGUGACCCCAGGACUUAGGGAUUUUUCCAAAAAAUCUUUUCCACCUGUUAAGUUGUUGAGGGCCGAUUUCCUGUCCUGCGAUCAAAAGUCUUCUGUUUUCAACACGAAACCUUUCAGGGGAGCAUUUUCAAACGUUUGGCACCUUUUUUGACUGAAUUGCCAAAAGUCAGAUUUUUGCUGAAAUUGUGACCCCGGGGCUUAGGGAUUUUUUCAAAAAAAUCUUUUCCGCCGGUUAAGUUGUUGAGGGCUGAUUUCUUGUCCUGUGAUAAAAAGCCUUCUGUUUCAACUGCCAAACCUUUCAGGGGAGCAUUUGCAACCAGUUGGCACCAUUUUUGAGUGAAUCGCCAAAAGUCAGAUUUUUGCUGAAAUUGUGACCCCAGGACUUAGGGAUUUUUUCAAAAAAAUCAUUUUCUGCCGGUUAAGUUGUUGAGGGCUGAUUUCUUGUCCUGUGAUAAAAAGUCUUCUGUUUCGACUGCCAAACCUUUCAGGGGAGCAUUAGCAACCGGUUGGCACCAUUUUUGAGUGAAUUGCCAAAAGUCAGAUUUUUGCUGAAAUUAUGACCCCGGGGCUUAGGGAUUUUUUCAAAAAAAUCUUUUCCGCCGGUUAAGUUGUUGAGGGCUGAUUUCUUGUCCUGUGAUAAAAAGCCUUCUGUUUCAAGUGCCAAACCUUUCAGGGGAGCAUUUGCAACCAGUUGGCACCAUUUUUGAGUGAAUCGCCAAAAGUCAGAUUUUUGCUGAAAUUGUGACCCCAGGACUUAGCGAUUUUUUCAAAAAAAUCAUUUUCUGCCGGUUAAGUUGUUGAGGGCUGAUUUCUUGUCCUGUGAUAAAAAGUCUUCUGUUUCGACUGCCAAACCUUUCAGGGGAGCAUUAGCAACCGGUUGGCACCAUUUUUGACUGAAUUGCCAAAAGUCAGAUGUUUGCUGAAACUGUCACCCCCGGGGCUUAGCGAUUUUUUCAAAAAAAUCUUUUUCCGCCGUUUAAGUUGUUGAGGGUUGAUUUCUUGUCCUGUGAUAAAAAGCCUUCUGUUUCGACUGCCAAACCUUUCAGGGGAGCAUUAGCAACCGGUUGGCACCAUUUUUGAGUGAAUUGCCAAAAGUCAGAUUUUUGCUGAAAUUGUCACCCCGGGGCUUAGCGAUUUUUUCAAAAAAAACAUUUUCCGCCGGUUAAGUAGUUGAGGGCUGAUUUCUUGUUCUGUGAUAAAAAGUCUUCUGUUUCGACUGCCAAACCUUUCAGGGGAACAUUAGCAACCGGUUGGCACCAUUUUUGAGUGAAUUGCCAAAAGUCAGAUUUUUUUUUUUUUUAAGAAUAUUUAUUCAAGUUUUAAGAUUACAAAAAAAAAGAAAAAACAAAACAAGAAAACCAGUGACAUACAUCUUACAAAAGAUACACACCAUACAAGGAAAAAAAGAAAAAAGAAAAAAUACACAAGACCAAAAAUCACAAUAAAAAAUAACAAAAAAAAGAAUUCAAAUUUAACAAACCGUAUUCCCAUUUACUUAUUUCCGUGACUUCCUCACACUUCUCUGCUUUGUAUUCUAAUUCAAAUUGUAUCUCCAGCAAAUCCUUCUAACCUUCUUUCCAUUCACUUAUUUUAACAUUUUAACAUUCAAAAAUAUUUAAUUCUCCUCUAUCCUUUAAUUUACACUUCAUAUUUACUUAAUUCCAUUAUACUCUGUCUGCCAAUACGGUCUAAUAUUUCUUCUCCAACCUUUCCUAACAUUCUUUUAUGUUACAGUGAUUCUGUAGAUAUAUUUUAAACUUUUUCCAAUCUUCUUCCAUAAACCCUUUUUCUUGAUCUCGAAUUCUUCCAGUCAUCUCAGCCAGUUCCAUAUAGUCUAUCACUAUUCUCUGCCAUUCUUCUCGGGUAGGCAAUUCUUGUGUCUUCCAAUAUUUCCCAAUGAGUAUUCUUGCUGCUGCUGUCGCAUACAUAAAAAAAGUUCUAUCUUCCCUUCGCACCAAUUGGCCAACCAUGCCCAAGAGGAAGGCCUCUGGUUUGUUUAAGAAAGUAUAUUUCAAUACCUUUUUUAAUUCAUUGUAUAUCAUUUCCCAGAAUGCCUUGAUCGCCAAAAGUCAGAUUUUUGCUGAAAUUGUGACCCCGGGGCUUAGCGAUUUUUUCAAAAAAAAUCAUCUUCCGCCGUUUAAGUUGUUGAGGGUUGAUUUCUUGUCCUGUGAUAAAAAGUCUUCUGUUUCGACUGCCAAACCUUUCAGGGGAGCAUUAGCAACCGGUUGGCACCAUUUUUGAGUGAAUGCCAAAAGUCAGAUGUUUGCUGAAAUUGUGACCCCGGGGCUUAGCGAUUUUUUCAAAAAAAUAUUUUCCGCCGGUUAAGUUGUUGAGGGCCGAUUUCCUGUCCUGUGAUAAAAAGCCUACUGUUUUGAACGCCAAACCUUUCAGGGGAGCGUUAGCAACCGGUUGGCACCAUUUUUGAGUGAAUCGCCAAAAGUCAGAUUUUUGCUGAAAUUGUGACGCCGGGGCUUAGCGAUUUUUUCAAAAAAAAUCAUUUUCCGCCGUUUAAGUUGUUGAGGGCUGAUUUCUUGUCCUGUGAUAAAACGUCUUCUGUUUCGACUGCCAAACCUUUCAGGGGAGCAUUAGCAACCGGUUCGCACCAUUUAUGAGUGAAUUGCCAAAAGUCAGAUUUUUGCUGAAAUUGUCACCCCGGGGCUUAGCGAUUUUUUCAAAAAAAACAUUUUCCGCCGGUUAAGUUGUUGAGGGCUGAUUUCUUGUCCUGUGAUAAAAAGUCUUCUGUUUCGACUGCCAAACCUUUCAGGGGAGCAUUAGCAACCGGUUGGCACCAUUCUUGAGUGAAUUGCCAAAAGUCAGACUUUGGCUGAAAUUGUCACCCCGGGGCUUAGCGAUUUUUUCAAAAAAAACAUAUUCCGCCGUUUAAGUUGUUGAGGGUUGAUUUCUUGUCCUGUGAUAAAAAGUCUUCUGUUUCGACUGCCAAACCUUUCAGGGGAGCAUUAGCAACCGGUUGGCACCAUUUUUGACUGAAUUGCCAAAAGUCAGAUGUUUGCUGAAAUUGUGACCCGGGGCUUAGGGAUUUUUUCAAAAAAAUCUUUUCCGCCGGUUAAGUUGUUGCGGGCUGAUUUCUUGUCCUGUGAUAAAAAGCCUUCUGUUUCAAGUGCCAAACCUUUCAGGGGAGCAUUUGCAACCAGUUGGCACCAUUUUUGACUGAAUUGCCAAAAGUCAGAUGUUUGCUGAAAUUGUGACCCCAGGACUUAGGGAUUUUUUCAAAAAAAUCAUUUUCUGCCGGUUAAGUUGUUGAGGGCUGAUUUCUUGUCCUGUGAUAAAAAGUCUUCUGUUUCGACUGCCAAACCUUUCAGGGGAGCAUUAGCAACCGGUUGGCACCAUUUUUGAGUGAAUUGCCAAAAGUCAGAUUUUUGCUGAAAUUGUGAGCCCGGGGCUUAGGGAUUUUUUUAAAAAAAUCUUUUCCGCCGGUUAAGUUGUUGAGGGCUGAUUUCUUGUCCUGUGAUAAAAAGCCUUCUGUUCCAACUGCCAAACCUUUCAGGGGAGCAUUAGCAACCGGUUGGCACCAUUUUGACUGAAUUGCCAAAAGUCAGAUGUUUGCUGAAAUUGUGACCCGGGGCUUAGCGAUUUUUUCAAAAAAUCUUUUCCGCCGGUUAAGUUGUUGAGGGCUGAUUUCUUGUCCUGUGAUAAAAAGCCUUCUGUUUCGACUGCCAAACCUUUCAGGGAGCAUUAGCAACCGGUUGGCACCAUUCUUGAGUGAAUUGCCAAAAGUCAGAUUUUUGCUGAAAUUGUGACCCCAGGACUUAGGGAUUUUUUCAAAAAAAUCUUUUCCACCGGUUAAGUUGUUGAGGGCCGAUUUCCUGUCCUGCGAUCAAAAGUCUUCUGUUUUCAACACGAAACCUUUCAGGGGAGCAUUUUCAAACGUUUGGCACCAUUUUUGACUGAAUUGCCAAAAGUCAGAUUUUUGCUGAAAUUGUGACCCCGGGGCUUAGGGAUUUUUUCAAAAAAAUCUUUUCCGCCGGUUAAGUUGUUGAGGGCUGAUUUCUUGUCCUGUGAUAAAAAGCCUUCUGUUUCAACUGCCAAACCUUUCAGGGAGCAUUUGCAACCAGUUGGCACCAUUUUUGAGUGAAUCGCCAAAAGUCAGAUUUUUGCUGAAAUUGUGACCCCAGGGCUUAGGGAUUUUUUCAAAAAAUCAUUUUCCGCCGGUUAAGUUGUUGAGGGCUGAUUUCUUGUCCUGUGAUAAAAGUCUUCUGUUUCGACUGCCAAACCUUUCAGGGGAGCAUUAGCAACCGGUUGGCACCAUUUUUGAGUGAAUUGCCAAAAGUCAGAUUUUUGCUGAAAUUGUGAACCCGGGGCUUAGCGAUUUUUUCAAAAAAAAUCAUUUUCCGCCGUUUAAGUUGUUGAGGGUUGAUUUCUUGUCCUGUGAUAAAAAGUCUUCUGUUUCGACUCCCAAACCUUUCAGGGGAGCAUUUGCACCCGGUUGGCACAAUUUUUGCGUGAAUCGCAAAAAGUCAGAUUUUGGCUGAAUUUUUCACCCCGGGCCUUAGGGAUUUUUUCAAAAAAAUCAUUUUCCGCCGUUUAAGUUGUUGAGGGUUGAUUUCUUGUCCUGUGAUAAAAGUCUUCUGUUUCGACUGCCAAACCUUUCAGGGGAGCAUUAGCAACCGGUUGGCACCAUUUUUGACUGAAUCGACAAAAAUCAGAUUUUUGCUGAAAUUGUGACCCCAGGACUUAGGGAUUUUUUAAAAAAAUCUUUUCUGCCGGUUAAGUUGUUGAGGGCUGAUUUCUUGUCCUGUGAUAAAAAGUCUUCUGUUUCGACUGCCAAACCUUUCAGGGGAGCAUUAGCAACCGGUUGGCACCAUUUUUGAGUGAAUCGCCAAAAGUCAGAUUUUUGCUGAAAUUGCUACCCCGGGGCUUAGGGAUUUUUUCAAAAAAAUAUUUUCCGCCGGUUAAGUUGUUGAGGGCCGAUUUCCUGUCCUGCGAUAAAAAGUCUUCUGUUUUCAACACGAAACCUUUCAGGGGAGCAUUUUCAAACGUUUGGCACCAUUUUUGACUGAAUUGCCAAAAGUCAGAUUUUUGCUGAAAUUGUGACCCCGGGGCUUAGGGAUUUUUGCAAAAAAUAGUUUACUCCGGUUAAUUUGUUGAUGGCUUUUUUCUUGUCAUGUUAUAAAAGCCUUCUGUUUCGAAUGCCAAACCUUUCAGGGGAGCAUUAGCAACCGGUUGGCACCAUUUUUGACUGAAUUGCCAAAAGUCAGAUGUUUGCUGAAAUUGUGACCCGGGGCUUAGCGAUUUUUUCAAAAAAAUAUUUUCCGCCGGUUAAGUUGUUGAGGGCCGAUUUCCUGUCCUGUGAUAAAAAGCCUUCUGUUUUGAACGCCAAACCUUUCAGGGGAGCAUUAGCAACCGGUUGGCACCAUUUUUGAGUGAAUCGCCAAAAGUCAGAUUUUUGCUGAAAUUGUGACCCCGGGGCUUAGCGAUUUUUUCAAAAAAAUCUUUUUCCGCCGGUUAAGUUGUUGAGGGCUGAUUUCUUGUCCUGUGAUAAAAAGUCUUCUGUUUCGACUGCCAAACCUUUCAGGGGAGCAUUAGCAACCGGUUGGCACCAUUUUUGAGUGAAUCGCCAAAAGUCAGAUUUUUGCUGAAAUUGUGACCCCAGGACUUAGGGAUUUUUUUCAAAAAAAUAUUUUCCGCCGGUUAAGUUGUUGAGGGCCGAUUUCCUGUCCUGCGAUAAAAAGCCUUCUGUUUUCAACACGAAACCUUUCAGGGGAGCAUUUUCAAACGUUUGGCACCAUUUUUGACUGAAUUGCCAAAAGUCAGAUUUUUGCUGAAAUUGUGACCCCGGGGCAUAGGGAUUUUUUAAAAAAAAUAUUUUCCGCCGGUUAAGUUGUUGAGGGCUGAUUUCUUGUCCUGUGAUAAAAAGCCUUCUGUUUCGACUGCCAAACCUUUCAGGGGAGCAUUAGCAACCGGUUGGCACCAUUUUUGACUGAAUUGCCAAAAGUCAGAUUUUUGCUGAAAUUGUGACCCCAGGGCUUAGCGAUUUUUUCAAAAAAAAAUUUUCCGCCGGUUAAGUUGUUGAGGGCUGAUUUCUUGUCCUGUGAUAAAAGUCUUCUGUUUCGACUGCCAAACCUUUCAGGGGAGCAUUAGCAACCGGUUGGCACCAUUUUUGACUGAAUUGCCAAAAGUCAGAUUUUUGCUGAAAUUGUGACCCCAGGACUUAGGGAUUUUUUCAAAAAAAUCUUUUCUGCCGGUUAAGUUGUUGAGGGCCGAUUUCCUGUCCUGUGAUAAAAAGAGUUCUGUUUUGAACGCCAAACCUUUCAGGGGAGCAUUAGCAACCGGUUGGCACCAUUUUUGAGUGAAUCGCCAAAAGUCAGAUUUUUGCUGAAAUUGUGACCCCGGGGCUUAGGGAUUUUUUCAAAAAAAUCUUUUUCCGCCGGUUAAGUUGUUGAGGGCCGAUUUCUUGUCCUGUGAUAAAAAGCCUUCUGUUUUGAACGCCAAACCUUUCAGGGGAGCAUUAGCAACCGGUUGGCACCAUUUUUGACUGAAUCGCCAAAAGUCAGAUUUUUGCUGAAAUUGUGACCCCGGGGCUUAGGGAUUUUUUCAAAAAAAUCUUUUCCGCCCGUUAAGUUGUUGAGGGCCGAUUUCCUGUCCUGCGAUAAAAAGCCUUCUGUUUUCAACACGAAACCUUUCAGGGGAGCAUUUUCAAACGUUUGGCACCAUUUUUGACUGAAUUGCCAAAAGUCAGAUGUUUGCUGAAAUUGUGACCCCGGGGCUUAGCGAUUUUUUCAAAAAAAUAUUUUCCGCCGGUUAAGUUGUUGAGGGCCGAUUUCCUGUCCUGUGAUAAAAAGCCUUCUGUUUUGAACGCCAAACCUUUCAGGGGAGCAUUAGCAACCGGUUGGCACCAUUUUUGAGUGAAUCGCCAAAAGUCAGAUUUUUGCUGAAAUUGUGUACCCGGGGCUUAGCGAUUUUUUCAAAAAAAUCAUUUUCCGCCGUUUAAGUUGUUGAGGGUUGAUUUCUUGUCCUGUGAUAAAAAGUCUUCUGUUUCGACUGCCAAACCUUUCAGGGGAGCAUUAGCAACCGGUUGGCACCAUUUUUGAGUGAAUCGCCAAAAGUCAGAUUUUUGCUGAAAUUGUGACCCCAGGGCUUAGCGAUUUUUUCAAAAAAAAACAUGUUCCGCCGGUUAAGUUGUUGAGGGUUGAUUUCUUGUCCUGUGAUAAAAAGUCUUCUGUUUCGACUGCCAAACCUUUCAGGGGAGCAUUAGCAACCGGUUGGCACCAUUUUUGAGUGAAUUGCCAAAAGUCAGAUUUUUGCUGAAAUUGUGACCCCGGGGCUUAGCGAUUUUUUCAAAAAAAUAUUUUCCGCCGGUUAAGUUGUUGAGGGCCGAUUUCCUGUCCUGUGAUAAUAAGCCUUCUGUUUUGAACGCCAAACCUUUCAGGGGAGCAUUAGCAACCGGUUGGCACCAUUUUUGAGUGAAUCUCCAAAAGUCAUUUUUUUGCUGAAAUUGCUUCCCCGGGGCUUUUGGUAUUUUUCAAAAAAAUAUUUUCCGCCGGUUAAGUUGUUGAGGGCCGAUUUCCUGUCCUGCGAUAAAAAGCCUUCUGUUUUCAACACGAUACCUUUCAGGGGAGCAUUUUCAAACGUUUGGCACCAUUUUUGACUGAAUUGCCAAAAGUCAGAUGUUUGCUGAAAUUGUGACCCCGGGGCUUAGGGAUUUUUUCAAAAAAAUCUUUUCCGCCGGUUAAGUUGUUGAGGGCUGAUUUCUUGUCCUGUGAUAAAAAGCCUUCUGUUUCGACUGCCAAACCUUUCAGGGGAGCAUUAGCAACCGGUUGGCACCAUUUUUGACUGAAUUGCCAAAAGUCAGAUGUUUGCUGAAAUUGUGACCCCGGGGCUUAGCGAUUUUUUCAAAAAANNNNNNNNNNNNNNNNNNNNNNNNNNNNNNNNNNNNNNNNNNNNNNNNNNNNNNNNNNNNNNNNNNNNNNNNNNNNNNNNNNNNNNNNNNNNNNNNNNNNNNNNNNNNNNNNNNNNNNNNNNNNNNNNNNNNNNNNNNNNNNNNNNNNNNNNNNNNNNNNNNNNNNNNNNNNNNNNNNNNNNNNNNNNNNNNNNNNNNNNCGGUUGGCACCAUUUAUGACUGCACUUGCCAAAAGUCAGAUUUUUGCUGAAAUUGUGACUCGGGAGCUUAGCGAUUUUUUCAAAAAAUCUUUUUCCUCCGGUUAGUUGUUGAGGGCCGAUUUCUUGUCCUGUGAUAAAAGCCUUCUGUUUUGACUGCCAAACAUUUCAGGGGAGUAUUUUCAAGCUGCUGGCACCAUUUUUUGAGUAAAUUGCCAAAGUCAGAUUUUUGCUGAAAUUAUGACCCUGGGGCUUAGGGAUUUUUUCAAAAAAUCUUUUUCCGCUCGGUUAGGUUGUUGAGGGCUGAUUUCUUGUCCUGUGAUAAAAAGCCUUCUGUUUCGACUGCCAAACCUUUCAGGGGAGCAUUGCAAACCGGUUGGCACCAUUUUUGACUGAAUCGACGAAAGUCAGUUUUUUGUUGAAAUUGUGACCCCGGGGCUUAGCGAUUUUUUCAAAAACAUCAUUUUCCGCCGUUUAAGUUCUUGAGGGCUGAUUUCUUGUCCUGUGAUAAAAAGUUUUCUGUUUCGACUGCCAAACCUUUCAGGGGAGCAUUCGCAGACCGGUUGGCACCAUUUUUGACUGAAUUGCCAGGAAGUCAGAUUUUUGCUGAAAUUGUGACCCUGGGGAUUAGGAUUUUUUCAAAAUAUCUUUUUCCGCCGGUUAAGUUGUUGAGGGCUGAUUUCUUGUCCUGUGAUAAAAAGCCUUCUGUUUCGACUGCCAAACCUUUCAGGGGAGCAUUAGCAACCGGUUGGCACCAUUUUUUACUGAAUCACCAAAAGUCAGAUUUUUGCUGAAAUUUGUGACCCCGGGUUUAGCGAUUUUUUCAAAAAAAAUCUUUUCCGCCGGUUAAGUUGUUGAGGGCCGAUUUUUUGUCCUUUGAUAAAAAGCCUUCUGUUUCGACUGCCAAACGUUUCAGGGGAGCAUUAGCAACCGGUUGGCACCAUUUUUGACUGAAUUGCCAAAAGUCAGAUUUUUGCUGAAAUUAGACCCUGGGGCUUAGCGAUUUUUUCAAAAAAAAUCUUUUCCGCCGGUUAAGUUGUUGAGGGCUGAUUUCUUGUCCUGUGAUAAAAAGCCUUCUGUUUCAACUGCCAAACCUUUCAGGGGAGCAUUUUCAAGCGUUUGACACCAUUUUUGACUGAAUUGCCAAAAGUCAGAUUUUUCCUGAAAUUGUGACCCUUGGGCUUAGAGAUUUUUUCAAAAAAAUCUUUUCCGCCGGUUAAGUUGUUGAGGGCCGAUUUCCUGUCCUGUUAUAAAAAGCCUUCUGUUUCGACUGCCAAACCUUUCAGGGGAUCAUUAGCAACCGGUUGGCAACAUUUUUGACUGAAUUACAAAAAGUCAGAUUUUUGCUGAAAUUGUGACCCCGGGGCUUAGCGAUUUUUUCAAAAAAAUCUUUUAGGCCGGUUAAGUUGUUGAGGGCCUUUUUCUUGUCCUGUGAUAAAAAGCCUUCUGUUUUGACUGCCAAACCUUUCAGGGGAGCACUAGCAACCGGUUGGCACCAUUUUUGACUGAAUUGCCAAAAGUCAGAUUUUUGCUGAAAUUGUGACCCCGGGGCUUAGGGAUUUUUUUCAAAAAAAAUCUUUCCGCCGGUUAAGUUGUUGAGGGCCGAUUUCUUGUCCUGUGAUAAAAAGCCUUCUGUUUUGAACGCCAAACCUUUCAGGGGAGCAUUAGCAACCGGUUGGCACCAUUUUUGACUCAAUUGCCAAAAGUCAGAUUUUUGCUGUAAUUGUGACCCGGGGAUUAGGGAUUUUUCAAAAUAUCUUUUUCCGCCCGUUAAGUUGUUGAGGGCUGAUUUCUUGUCCCUGUGAUAAAAGCCUUCUGUUUCGACUGCCAAACCUUUCAGGGGAGCAUUAGCAACCGGUUGGCACCGUUUUUGACUGAUUGCCAAAAGUCAGAUUUUUGCUGAAAUUGUGACCCCGGGCUUAGCGAUUUUUCUAAAAAAUCUUUUCCGCCGGUUAAGUUGUUGAGGGCUGAUUUUUGUCCGGUGAUAAAAGCCUCUGUUUUGAACCCCAAACCUUUCAGGGGAGCAUUUUCAAGCGUUUGGCACCAUUUUUGACAGAAUUGCCAAAAGUCAGAUUUUUGAUGAAAUUGUGACCCUGGGACUUAGGGAUUUUUCAAAAAUCUUUUCCGCCGGUUAAGUUGUUGAGGGCCGAUUUCUUGUCCUGUGAUAAAAGCCUUCUGUUUCAACUGCCAAAUCUUUCAGGGAGCAUUUUCAAGCGUUUGGCACCAUUUUUGACUGAAUUGCCAAAAGUCAGAUUUUUGCUGAAAUUGUGACCCGGGGCUUAGGGAUUUUUUCAAAAAAUCUUUUCCGCCGGUUAAGUUGUUGAGGGCUGAUUUCUAGUCCUGUGAUAAAAGCCUUCUGUUUUGACUGCCAAACCUUUUAGGGAGCAUUAGAAACCGGUUGGCACCAUUUUUGAGUAAAUUGCCAAAAGUCAGAUUUUUGCUGAAAUUAUGACCCCGGGCUGAGCGAUUUUUCCAAAAAAUCUUUUCCGCCGCUUAAGUUGUUGAGGGCCGAUUUCUUGUCCUGUGAUAAAAGCCUUCUGUUUCGACUGCCAAACCUUUCAGGGAGCAUUAGCAACCGGUUGGCACCAUUUUUGAGUGAAUCGCCAAAAGUCAGAUUUUUGCUGAAAUUGUGACACCGGCGCUUAGGGAUUUUUUCAAAAUAAUCUUUUCGCUCGGUUAAGUUGUUGAGGCCGAUUUCUUGUCCUGUGAUAAAAAGCCGUCUGUUUUGAACGCCAAACUUUUCAGGGGAGCAUUAGCAACCGGUUGGCACCAUUUUUGACUAAAUUGCCAAAAGUCAGAUUUUUGCUGAAAUUGUGACCCAGGGGCUUAGGGAUUUUUUCAAAAAAUCUCUUCCCCAGGUUAAGUUGUUGAGGGCCGAUUUCUUGUCCUGUGAUAAAAAGCCUUCUGUUUCGACUGCCAAACCUUUCAGGGGAGCAUUAGCAUCCGGUUGGCACCAUUUUUGAGUAAAUUGCCAAAGUCAGAUUUUUGCUGAAAUUGUGACGCUCGGGCUUAGGGAUUUUUUCAAAAAUCUUUUCCGUCGGUUAAGUUGUUGAGGGCUGGUUUCUUGUCCGGUGAUAAAAAGCCUUCUGUUUUGACUGCCAAACCUUUCAGGGGGGCAUUAGAAACCGGUUGGCACCAUUUUUGAGUAAAUUGCCAAAAGUCAGACUUUUGCUGAAAUUGUGGACCCUGGGGCUUAGGGAUUUUUCAAAAAAAUCUUUUCCGUCGGUUAAGUUGUUGAGGGCUGAUUUCUUGUCCGGUGAUACAAAGCCUUCUGUUUCGAACGCCAAACCUUUCAGGGCAGCAUUAGCAACCGUUUGGCACCAUUUUUGACUGAAUUGCCAAAAGUCAGAUUUUUGCUGAAAUUGUCACCCCGGGGCUUAGGGAUUUUUCCAAAAAAAUCUUUUCCGCCAGUUUAGUUGUUGAGGGGCGAUUUCUUGUACUGUGACAAAAAGCCUUCUGUUUUGAACGCCAAACCUUUCAGGGGAGCAUUAGCAACCGGUUGGAACCAUUUUGGACUGAAUUGCCAAAAGUCAGAUUUUUGUUGAAAUUGUGACCCCGGGGCUUAGCGAUUUUUCAAAAAUCUUUUUCCGCCGGUUAAGUUGUUGAGGGCUGAUUUCUUGUCCGGUGAUAGAAAGCCUUCUGUUUUGACUGCCAAACCUUUCAGGGGAGCAUUUUCAAGCGUUUGGCACCAUUUUUGAGUAAAUUGCCAAAAGUCAGAUUUUUGCUGAAAUUGUCACCCGGGGCUUAGGGAUUUUUUCAAAAAAUCUUUUCCGCCGGUUAAGUUGUUGAGGGCCGAUUUCUUGUCCUGUGAUAAAAGCCUUCUGUUUCGACUGCCAAACCUUUCAGGGAGCAUUAGCAACCGGUUGGCACCAUUUUGGAGUGAAUCGCCAAAAGUCAGAUUUUUGCUGAAAUUGUGACACCGGGCGCUUAGGGAUUUUUCAAAUAAUCUCUUCCGCUGGUUAAGUUGUUGAGGGCCGAUUUCUUGUCCUGUGAUAAAAAGCCGUCUGUUUUGAACGCCAAACCUUUCAGGGGAGCAUUAGCAACCGGUUGGCACCAUUUUUGACUGAAUUGCCAAAAGUCAGAUUUUUGCUGAAAUUGUGACCCGGGAUUAGGGAUUUUUCAAAAUAUCUUUUUCCGCCCGUAAGUUGUUGAGGGCUGAUUUCUUGUCCUGUGAUAAAAAGCCUUCUGUUUCGACUGCCAAACCUUUCAGAGGAGCAUUAGCAACCGGUUGGCACCAUUUUUGACUGAAUUGCCAAAAGUCAGAUUUUUGCUGAAAUUGUGACCCGGGCUUAACGAUUUUUUCAAAAAAUCUUUUCCGCCGGUUAAGUUGUUGAGGGCUGAUUUUUUGUCCGGUGAUAAAAAGCCUUCUGUUUUGAACCCCAAACCUUUCAGGGGAGCAUUAUCAAGCGUUUGGCACCAUUUUUGACAGAAUUGCCAAAAGUCAGAUUUUUGCUGAAAUUGUGACCCCGGGGCUUAGGGAUUUUUUCAAAAAAAUCUUUUCCGCCGGUUAAGUUGUUGAGGGCCGAUUUCUUGUCCUGUGAUAAAAAGCCUUCUGUUUCAACUGCCAAAUCUUUCAGGGGAGCAUUUUCAAGCGUUUGGCACCAUUUUUGACUGAAUUGCCAAAAGUCAGAUUUUUGCUGAAAUUGUGACCCCGGGGCUUAGGGAUUUUUUCAAAAAAUCUUUUCCGCUAGUUAAGUUGUUGAGGGCUGAUUUCUAGUCCUGUGAUAAAAAGCCUUCUGUUUUGACUGCCAAACCUUUUAGGGGAGCAUUAGAAACCGGUUGGCACCAUUUUUGAGUAAAUUGCCAAAAGUCAGAUUUUUGCUGAAAUUGUGACCCCGGGGCUUAGCGAUUUUUUCAAAAAAAUCUUUUCCGCCGCUUAAGUUGUUGAGGGCCGAUUUCUUGUCCUGUGAUAAAAAGCCUUCUGUUUCGACUGCCAAACCUUUCAGGGGAGCAUUAGCAACCGGUUGGCACCAUUUUUGAGUGAAUCGCCAAAAGUCAGAUUUUUGCUGAAAUUGUGACACCGGCGCUUAGGGAUUUUUUCAAAAUAAUCUUUUCCGCCGGUUAAGUUGUUGAGGGCCGAUUUCUUGUCCCGUGAUAAAAAGCCGCUCUGUUUUGAACGCCAAACUUUUCAGGGAGCAUUAGCAACCGGUUGGCACCAUUUUUGACUGAAUUGCCAAAAGUCAGAUUUUUGCUGAAAUUGUGACCCGGGGCUUAGGGAUUUUUUCAAAAAAUCUCUUCCCGGUUAAGUUGUUGAGGGCCGAUUUCUUGUCCGGUGAUAAAAAGCCUUCUGUUUCGACUGCCAAACCUUUCAGGGGAGCAUUAGCAUCCGGUUGGCACCAUUUUUGAGUAAAUUGCCAAAAGUCAGAUUUUUGCUGAAAUUGUGACGCCGGGGCUUAGGGAUUUUUUCAAAAAAUCUUUUUCCGCCGGUUAAGUUGUUGAGGGCUGGUUUCUUGUCCGGUGAUAAAAGCCUUCUGUUUUGACUGCCAAACCUUUCAGGGGGCAUUAGAAACCGGUUGGCACCAUUUUUGAGUAAAUUGCCAAAAGUCAGACUUUUGCUGAAAUUGUGACCCUGGGGCUUAGGGAUUUUUUCAAAAAAAUCUUUUUCCGCCGGUUAAGUUGUUGAGGGCUGAUUUCUUGUCCGGUGAUAAAAAGCCUUCUGUUUCGAACGCCAAACCUUUCAGGGCAGCAUUAGCAACCGGUUGGCACCAUUUUUGACUGAAUUGCCAAAAGUCAGAUUUUUGCUGAAAUUGUGACCCCGGGGCUUAGGGAUUUUUCCAAAAAAAUCUUUUCCGCCAGUUUAGUUGUUGAGGGGCGAUUUCUUGUACUGUGAGAAAAGGCCAUCGCUUUUGAACGCCAAACCUUUCAGGGGAGCAUUAGCAACCGGUUGGAACCAUUUUGGACUGAAUUGCCAAAAGUCAGAUUUUUGUUGAAAUUGUGACCCCGGGGCUUAGCGAUUUUUUCAAAAAAAUCUUUUUCCGCCGGUUAAGUUGUUGAGGGCUGAUUUCUUGUCCGGUGAUAGAAAGCCUUCUGUUUUGACUGCCAAACCUUUCAGGGGAGCAUUUUCAAGCGUUUGGCACCAUUUUUGAGUAAAUUGCCAAAAGUCAGAUAUUUGGUGAAAUUGUCACCCGGGGCUUAGGGAUUUUUUCAAAAAAUCUUUUCCGCCGGUUAAGUUGUUGAGGGCCGAUUUCUUGUCCUGUGAUAAAAAGCCUUCUGUUUCGACUGCCAAACCUUUCAGGGGAGCAUUAGCAACCGGUUGGCACCAUUUUUGAGUGAAUCGCCAAAAGUCAGAUUUUUGCUGAAAUUGUGACACCGGCGCUUAGGGAUUUUUUCAAAAUAAUCUUUUCCGCCGGUUAAGUUGUUGAGGGCCGAUUUCUUGUCCUGUGAUAAAAAGCCGUCUGUUUUGAACGCCAAACCUUUCAGGGGAGCAUUAGCAACCGGUUGGCACCAUUUUUGACUGAAUUGCCAAAAGUCAGAUUUUUGCUGAAAUUGUGACCCCGGGGAUUAGCGAUUUUUUCAAAAGAAAUCUCUUCCCCGGUUAAGUUGUUGAGGGCCGAUUUCUUGUCCUGUGAUAAAAGCCUUCUGUUUCGACUGCCAAACCUUUCAGGGGAGCAUUAGCAUCCGGUUGGCACCAUUUUUGAGUAAAUUGCCAAAAGUCAGAUUUUUGCUGAAAUUGUGACGCCGGGCUUAGGGAUUUUUCAAAAAAUCUUUUUCCGCCGGUUAAGUUGUUGAGGGCUGGUUUCUUGUCCGGUGAUAAAAGCCUUCUGUUUUGACGGCCAAACCUUUCAGGAGUGCAUUAGAAACCGGUUGGCACCAUUUUUGAGUAAAUUGCCAAAAGUCAGACUUUUGCUGAAAUUGUGACCCUUGGGCUUAGAGAUUUUUCAAAAAAAUUUUCCGCCGGUUAGUUGUUGAGGGCCGAUUUCCUGUCCUGUGAUAAAAGCCUACUGUUUAGACUGCCAAACCUUUCAGGGGAGCAUUAGCAACCGGUUGGCACCAUUUUUGACUGAAUUACCAAAAGUCAGAUUUUUGCUGAAAUUGUGACCCCGGGGCUUAGGGAUUUUUUCAAAAAAAUCUUUUAGGCCGGUUAAGUUGUUGAGGGCCGAUUUCCUGUCCUGUGAUAAAAAGCCUUCUGUUUCGACUGCCAAAACUUUCAGGGGAGCAUUUUCAAGCUUUUGGCACCAUUUUUGACUGAAUUGCCAAAAGUCAGAUUUUUGCUGAAAUUGUGACCCCGGGGCUUAGGGAUUUUUUCAAAAAAAUCUUUUCCGCCGGUUAAGUUGUUGAGGGCUGAUUUCUUGUCCUGUGAUAAAAAGCCUUCUGUUUCGACUGCCAAACAUUUAAGGGGAGCAUUAGCAACAGCUUGGCACCAUUUUUGACUGAAUUGCCAAAAGUCAGAUUUUGCUGAAAUUGUGACUCCGGGGCUUCGGGAUUUUUUCAAAAAAUCUUUUCCGCCGGUUGUUGUUGAGGGCUGAUUUCUUGUCCGGUGAUAAAAAGCCUUCUGUUUUGAACGCCAAGCCUUUCAGGGGAGCAUUUGCAACCGGUUGGCACCAUUUUUGACUGAAUUGCCAAAAGUCAGAUUUUUGCUGAAAUUGUGACCCCAGGGCUUAGGGAUUUUUUCAAAAAAAACUUUUUCCGCCGUUUAAGUUGUUGAGGGCUGAUUUCUUGUCCGGUGAUAAAAAGCCUUCUGUAUUGAACGCCAAAACUUUCAGGGGAGCAUUUGCAAGUGUUUGGCACCAUUUUUGACUGAAUUGCCAAAAGUCAGAUUUUUGCUGAAAUUGUGACCCCGGGGCUUAGGGAUUUUUUCAAAAAAAUCUUUUCCGCUGGUUAAGUUGUUGAGGGCUGAUUUCUUGUCCUGUGAUAAAAAGACUUCUGUUUCGACUGUCAAACCUUUCAGGGGAGCAUUCGCAGACCGGUUGGCACGAUUUUUGACUGAAUUGCCAAAAGUCAGAUUUUUGCUGAAAUUGUGACCCCGGGGAUUAGGGAUUUUUUCAAAAUAUCUUUUUCCGCUGGUUAUGUUGUUGAGGGCUGAUUUCUUGUCCUGUGAUAAAAAGCCUUCUGUUUCGACUGCCAAACCUUUCAGGGGAGCAUUAGCAACCGGUUGGCACCAUUUUUUACUGAAUCACCAAAAGUCAGAUUUUUGCUGAAAUUGUGACCCCGGGGUUUAGCGAUUUUUUCAAAAAAAUCUUUUCCGCCGGUUGUUGUUGAGGGCCGAUUUCUUGUCCUGUGAUAAAAAACCUUCUGUUUUGAACGCCAAACCUUUCAGGGGAGCUUUAGCAGCCGGUUGGCACCAUUUUUGACUGAAUUGCCAAAAGUCAGAUUUUUGCUGAAAUUGUGACCCCGGGGCUUAGCGAUUUUUUCAAAAAAAUCUUUUUCUGCCGGUUAAGUUGUUGAGAGCUGAUUUCUUGUCCGGUGAUAAAAAGCCUUCUGUUUUGAACGCCAAACCUUUCAGGGGAGCAUUUUCAAGCGUUUGGCACCAUUUUUGAGUAAAUUGCCUAAAGUCAGAUUUUUGCUGAAAUUGUGACCCCGGGGCUUAGGGAUUUUUUCGAAAAAAACUUUUUCCGCCGGUUAAGUUGUUGAGGGCUGAUUUCUUGUCCUGUGAUAAAAGCCUUCUGUUUCGACUGCCAAACCUUUCAGGGAGCAUUGCAAACCGGUUGGCACCAUUUUUGACUAAAUUGCCAAAAGUCAGAUUUUUGCUGAAAUUGUGACUCCGGGCCUUAGGGAUUUUUUAAAAAAAUAGUUUGCCGCCGGUUAAGUUGUUGAGGGCCGAUUUCUUGUCCUGUGAUAAAACGCCUUCUGUUUCGACUGCCAAACCUUUCAGGGGAGCAUUAGCAACCGGUUGGCACCAUUUUUGAGUGAAUCGCCAAAAGUCAGAUUUUUGCUGAAAUUGUGACCCCGGGGCUUUAGGGAUUUUUUCAAAAAUCUUUUCCGCCGGUUAAGUUGUUGAGGGCCGAUUUCUUGUCCUGUGAUAAAAGCCUUCUGUUUUGAACGCCAAACCUUUCAGGGGAGCUUUAGCAACCGGUUGCCACCAUUUUGGACUGAAUUGCCAAAAGUCAGAUUUUUGCUGAAAUUGUGACCCCGGGGCUUAGCGAUUUUUUCAAAAAAUCUUUUCCGCCGGUUAAGUGGUUGAGGGCUGAUUUCUUGUCCUGUGAUAAAAAGCCUUCUGUUUCCACUGCCUAAACUUUCAGUGGAGCAUUUGCAACCGAUUGGCACCAUUUUUGACUGAAUUGCCAAAAGUCAGAUUUUUGCUGAAAUUGUGACCCCGGGCUUAGCGUUUUUUCAAAAAAUCUUCUUCCGUCGGUUAAGUUGUUGAGGGCUGAUUUCUUGUCCUGUGAUAAAAGCCUUCUGUUUCGACUGCCAAACCUUUCAGGGGAGCAUUGCAAACCGGUUGGCACCAUUUUUGACUGAAUUGCCAAAAGUCAGAUUUUUGCUGAAAUUUGACCCUGGGCUUAGGGAUUUUUUCAAAGUAUCUUUUUCCGCCGGUUAAGUUGUUGAGGGCUGAUUUCUUGUCCUGUGAUAAAAAGCCUUCUGUUUCGACUGCCAAACCUUUCAGGGGAGCAUUAGCAACCGGUUGGCACCAUUUUUUACUGAAUCGCCAAAAGUCAGAUGUUUGCUGAAAUUGUGACCCCGGGGCUUAGCGAUUUUUUCAAAAAAUCUUUUUGGCCGGUUAAGUUGUUGAGGGCCGAUUUCCUGUCCUGUGAUAAAAGCCUUCUGUUUCAAUGCCAAAACUUUCAGGGGAGCAUUUUCAAGCGUUUGGCACCAUUUUUGACUGAAUUGCCAAAAGUCAGAUUUUUGCUGAAAUUGUGACCCGGGGCUUAGGGAUUUUUUCAAAAAAUCUUUUUCCGCCGGUUAAGUUGUUGAGGGCUGAUUUCUUGUCCUGUGAUAAAAGCCUUCUGUUUCGACCGCCAAACCAUUCAGUGGAGCAUUUUCAAGCGUUUGGCACCAUUUUGGUGUGAAUCGCCAAAAGUCAGAUUUUUGCUGAAAUUGUGACCCCGGGCUUAGGUAUUUUUCAAAAAAUCUUUUCCGCCGGUUGUUGUUGAGGGCCGAUUUCCUGUCCUGUGAUAAAAAGCCUUCUGUUUCGACAGCCAAACCUUUCAGGGGAGCAUUUGCAAGUGUUUGGCACCAUUUUUGACUGAAUUGCCAAAAGUCAGAUUUUUGCUGAAAUUGUGACCCCGGGGCUUAGCGAUUUUUUCAAAAAAUCAUGUUCCGCCGGUUAAGUUCUUGAGGGCUGAUUUCUUGUCCUGUGAUAAAAAGCCUUCUGUUUCAACUGCCAAACCUUUCAGGGGAGCAUUAGCAAGCGGUUGGCACCAUUUUUUACUGAAUCGCCAAAAGUCAGAUUUUUGCUGAAAUUGUGACCACGGGGCUUAGGGAUUUUUUCAAAAAAAUCUUUUUCCGCCGGUUAAGUUGUUGAGGGCUGAUUUCUUGUCCUGUGAUAAAAAGCCUUCUGUUUCGACUGCCGAAACUUUCUAGAGGAGCAUUUUCAAGCGUUUGGCACCAUUUUUGACUGAAUUGCCAAAAGUCAGAUUUUUGCUGAAAUUGUGACCCGGGGCUUAGGGAUUUUUUCAAAAAUCUUUUCCGCCGGUUAAGUUGUUGAGGGCUGAUUUCUUGUCCUGUGAUAAAAGCCUUCUGUUUCGACCGCCAAACCAUUCAGUGGAGCAUUUUCAAGCAUUUGGCACCAUUUUGGUGUGAAUCGCCAAAAGUCAGAUUUUGCUGAAAUUAUGACCCUGAGGCUUAGGGAUUUUUUCAAAAAAAUCUUUUUCCGCCGGUUAAGUUGUUGAGGGCCGAUUUCCUGUCCUGUGAUAAAAAGCCUUCUGUUUCAACUGCCAAACCUUUCAGGGGAGCAUUUGCAACCGAUUGGCACCAUUUUUGACUGAAUCGCCAAAAGUCAGAUUUUUGCUGAAAUUGUGACCCCGUGGCUUAGCGUUUUUUUCAAAAAAAUCUUCUUCCGUCGGUUAAGUUGUUGAGGGCUGAUUUCUUGUCCUGUGAUAAAAAGCCUUCUGUUUCGACUGCCAAACCUUUCAGGGGAGCAUUGCAAACCGGUUGGCACCAUUUUUGACUGAAUUGCCAAAAGUCAGAUUUUUGCUGAAAUUGUGACCCCGGGGCUUAGGGAUUUUUUCAAAGUAUCUUUUUCCGCCGGUUAAGUUGUUGAGGGCUGAUUUCUUGUCCUGUGAUAAAAAGCCUUCUGUUUCGACUGCCAAACCUUUCAGGGGAGCAUUAGCAACCGGUUGGCACCAUUUUUUAAUGAAUAGCCAAAAGUCAGAUGUUUGCUGAAAUUGUGACCCGAGGCUUAGCGAUUUUUUCAAAAAAUCUUUUUGGCCGGUUAGUUGUUGAGGGCCGAUUUCCUGUCCUGUGAUAAAAAGCCUUCUGUUUCGAAUGCCAAAACUUUCAGGGGAGCAUUUUCAAGCGUUUGGCACCAUUUUUGACUGAAUUGCCAAAAGUCAGAUUUUUGCUGAAAUUGUGACCCCGGGGCUUAGGGAUUUUUUCAAAAAAAUCUUUUUCCGCCGGUUAAGUUGUUGAGGGCUGAUUUCUUGUCCUGUGAUAAAAAGCCUUCUGUUUCGACCGCCAAACCAUUCAGUGGAGCAUUUUCAAGCGUUUGGCACCAUUUUGGUGUGAAUCGCCAAAAGUCAGAUUUUUGCUGAAAUUGUGACCCCGGGCUUAGGUAUUUUUCAAAAAAUCUUUUCCGCCGGUUAAGUUGUUGAGGGCCGAUUUCCUGUCCUGUGAUAAAAAGCCUUCUGUUUCGACAGCCAAACCUUUCAGGGGAGCAUUUGCAAGUGUUUGGCACCAUUUUUGACUGAAUUGCCAAAAGUCAGAUUUUGCUGAAAUUGUGACCCCGGGGCUUAGCGAUUUUUCAAAAAAUCAUGUUCCACGGUUAAGUUCUUUGAGGGCUGAUUUCUUGUCCUGUGAUAAAAGCCUUCUGUUUCAACUGCCAAACCUUUCAGGGGAGCAUUAGCAAGCGGUUGGCACCAUUUUUACUGAAUCGCCAAAAGUCAGAUUUUUGCUGAAAUUGUGACCACGGGGCUUAGGGAUUUUUCAAAAAAUCUUUUCCGCCGGUUAAGUUGUUGAGGGCUGAUUUCUUGUCCUGUGAUAAAAGCCUUCUGUUUCGACUGCCGAAACUUUCAGAGGAGCAUUUUCAAGCGUUUGGCACCAUUUUUGACUGAAUUGCCAAAAGUCAGAUUUUUGCUGAAAUUGUGACCCCGGGGCUUAGGGAUUUUUUCAAAAAAAUCUUUUCCGCCGGUUAAGUUGUUGAGGGCUGAUUUCUUGUCCUGUGAUAAAAAGCCUUCUGUUUCGACCGCCAAACCAUUCAGUGGAGCAUUUUCAAGCAUUUGGCACCAUUUUGGUGUGAAUCGCCAAAAGUCAGAUUUUUGCUGAAAUUGUGACCCCGAGGCUUAGGGAUUUUUUCAAAAAAAUCUUUUUCCGCCGGUUAAGUUGUUGAGGGCCGAUUUCCUGUCCUGUGAUAAAAGCCUUCUGUUUCAACUGCCAAACCUUUCAGGGAGCAUUUGCAACCGAUUGGCACCAUUUUUGACUGAAUUGCCAAAAGUCAGAUUUUUGCUGAAAUUGUGACCCCGGGGCUUAGCGUUUUUUCAAAAAAUCUUCUUCCGUCGGUUAAGUUGUUGAGGGCUGAUUUCUUGUCCUGUGAUAAAAAGCCUUCUGUUUCGACUGCCAAACCUUUCAGGGAGCAUUGCAAACCGGUUGGCACCAUUUUUGACUGAAUUGCCAAAAGUCAGAUUUUUGCUGAAAUUGUGACCCCGGGGCUUAGGGAUUUUUCAAAGUAUCUUUUCCGCCGGUUAAGUUGUUGAGGGCUGAUUUCUUGUCCUGUGAUAAAAAGCCUUCUGUUUCGACUGCCAAACCUUUCAGGGGAGCAUUAGCAACCGGUUGGCACCAUUUUUACUGAAUCGCCAAAAGUCAGAUGUUUGCUGAAAUUGUGACCCCGGGGCUUAGCGAUUUUUUCAAAAAAUCUUUUUUGGCCGGUUAAGUUGUUGAGGGCAGAUUUCAUGUCCUGUGAUAAAAAGCCUUCUGUUUAAAAAGCCAAACCUUUCAGGGGAGCAUUAUCAAGCGUUUGACACCAUUUUUGACUGAAUAGCCAAAAGUCAGAUUUUUGCUGAAAUUAGACCACGGGGCUUAGCGAUUUUUUCAAAAAAAUCUUUUGGGCCGGUUAAGUUGUUGAGGGCUGAUUUCUUGUCCUGUGAUAAAAAGCCUUCUGUUUCGACUGCCAAACCAUUCAGUGGAGCAUUUUCAAGCGUUUGGCACCAUUUUGGUGUGAAUCGCCAAAAGUCAGAUUUUUGCUGAAAUUGUGACCCCGGGGCUUAGGUAUUUUUUCAAAAAAAUCUUUUCCGCCGGUUAAGUUGUUGAGGGCCGAUUUCCUGUCCUGUGAUAAAAGCCUUCUGUUUCGACAGCCAAACCUUUCAGGGGAGCAUUUGCAAGUGUUUGGCACCCUUUUUGCGUGAAUUGCCAAAAGUCAGAUUUUGCUGAAAUUGUGACCCUGGGCUUAGCGAUUUUUUCAAAAAAAUCAUGUUCCGCCGGUUAAGUUCUUGAGGGCUGAUUUCUUGUCCUGUGAUAAAAGCCUUCUGUUUCAACUGCCAAACCUUUCAGGGAGCAUUAGCAAGCGGUUGGCACCAUUUUUACUGAAUCGCCAAAAGUCAGAUUUUGCUGAAAUUGUGACCACGGGGCUUAGGGAUUUUUUCAAAAAUCUUCUUCCGUCGGUUAAGUUGUUGAGGGCUGAUUUCUUGUCCUGUGAUAAAAAGCCUUCUGUUUCGACUGCCAAACCUUUCAGGGGAGCAUUAGAAACCGGUUGGCACCAUUUUUUACUGAAUAGCCAAAAGUCAGAUGUUUGCUGAAAUUGUGACCCCGGGGCUUAGCGAUUUUUUCAAAAAAUCUUUUGGCCGGUUAAGUUGUUGAGGGCCGAUUUCCUGUCCUGUGAUAAAAGCCUUCUGUUUCGAAUGCCAAAACUUUCAGGGAGCAUUUUCAAGCGUUUGGCACCAUUUUUGACUGAAUUGCCAAAAGUCAGAUUUUUGCUGAAAUUGUGACCCGGGGCUUAGCGAUUUUUUCAAAAAAUCUUUUCCGCCGGUUAAGUUGUUGAGGGCUGAUUUCUUGUCCUGUGAUAAAAAGCCUUCUGUUUCGAAUGCCAAAACAUUCAGUGGAGCAUUUUCAAGCGUUUGGCACCAUUUUGGUGUGAAUCGCCAAAAGUCAGAUUUUUGCUGAAAUUGUGACCCCGGGGCUUAGGUAUUUUUUCAAAAAAAUCUUUUCCGCCGGUUAAGUUGUUGAGGGCUGAUUUCUUGUCCUGUGAUAAAAGCUUCUGUUUCGACAGCCAAACCUUUCAGGGGAGCAUUUGCAAGUGUUUGGCACCAUUUUUGACUGAAUUGCCAAAAGUCAGAUUUUUGCUGAAAUUGUGACCCCGGGGCUUAGCGAUUUUUUCAAAAAAAUCAUGUUCCGCCGGUUAAGUUCUUGAGGGCUGAUUUCUUGUCCUGUGAUAAAAAGCCUUCUGUUUCAACUGCCAAACCUUUCAGGGGAGCAUUAGCAAGCGGUUGGCACCAUUUUUUACUGAAUCGCCAAAAGUCAGAUUUUUGCUGAAAUUGUGACCACGGGGCUUAGGGAUUUUUUCAAAAAAAAUCUUUUCCGCCGGUUAAGUUGUUGAGGGCUGAUUUCUUGUCCUGUGAUAAAAAGCCUUCUGUUUCGACUGCCGAAACUUUCAGAGGAGCAUUUUCAAGCGUUUGGCACCAUUUUUGACUGAAUUGCCAAAAGUCAGAUUUUUGCUGAAAUUGUGACCCCGGGGCUUAGGGAUUUUUUCAAAAAAAUCUUUUCCGCCUGUUCAGUUGUUGAGGGCUGAUUUCUUGUCCUGUGAUAAAAGCCUUCUGUUUCGACCGCCAAACCAUUCAGUGGAGCAUUUUCAAGCAUUUGGCACCAUUUUGGUGUGAAUCGCCAAAAGUCAGAUUUUUGCUGAAAUUGUGACCCGAGGCUUAGGGAUUUUUUCAAAAAAUCUUUUUCGCCGGUUAAGUUGUUGAGGGCCGAUUUCCUGUCCUGUGAUAAAAAGCCUUCUGUUUCGACAGCCAAAACUUUCAGAGGAGCAUUUUCAAGUGUUUGGCACCAUUUAUGACUGCAUUGCCAAAAGUCAGAUUUUUGCUGAAAUUGUGACCCCGGGGCUUAGGGAUUUUUUCAAAAAAAUCUUUUCCGCCGGUUAAGUUGUUGAGGGCCGAUUUCCUGUCCUGUGAUAAAAAGCCUUCUGUUUCGACAGCCAAAACUUUCAGGGGAGCAUUUGCAAGUGUUUGGCACCAUUUUUGACUGAAUUGCCAAAAGUCAAAUUUUUGCUGAAAUCGUGACCCCGGGGCUUAGCGAUUUUUUCAAAAAAAUCUUUUUCCGCCGUUUAAGAUGUUGAGGGCUGAUUUCUUGUCCUGUGAUAAAAAGCCUUCUGUUUCGACUACCAAAACUUUCAGAGGAGCAUUUUCAAGCGUUUGGCACCAUUUUUGAGUUAAUCGACAAAAGUCAGUUUUUUGUUGAAAUUGUGACCCGGGGCUUAGCGAUUUUUUCAAAAAAUCAUUUUCCGCCUGUUAAGUUCUUGAGGGCUGAUUUCUUGUCCUAUUAUAAAAAGACUUCUGUUUAGACUGCCAAACCUUUCAGGGGAGCAUUAGCAACCGGUUGGCACCAUUUUUGACUGAAUUGCCAAAAGUCAGAUUUUUGCUGAAAUUGUGACCCCGGGGCUUAGGGAUUUUUUCAAAAAAAUCUUUUUCCGCCGGUUAAGUUGUUGAGGGAUGAUUUCUUCUCCUGUGAUAAAAAGCCUUCUGUUUCGACUGCCAAACCUUUCAGGGGAGCAUUAGCAACCGGUUGGCACCAUUUUUGACUGAAUUGCCAAAAGUCAGAUUUUUGCUGAAAUUGUGACCCCGGGGCUUAGCGAUUUUUUCAAAAAAAUCAUGUUCCGCCGGUUAAGUUGUUGAGGGCUGAUUUCUUGUCCUGUGAUAAAAGCCUUCUGUUUCGACCGCCAAACCAUUCAGUGGAGCAUUUUCAAGCGUUUGGCACCAUUUUGGUGUGAAUCGCCAAAAGUCAGAUUUUUGCUGAAAUUGUGACCCCGGGGCUUAGGGAUUUUUUCAAAAAAAUCUUUUCCGCCGGUUAAGUUGUUGAGGGCCGAUUUCCUGUCCUGUGAUAAAAAGCCUUCUGUUUCGACUGCCAAACCUUUCAGGGGAGCAUUUGCAAGUGUUUGGCACCAUUUUUGACUGAAUUGCCAAAAGUCAGAUUUUUGCUGAAAUUGUGACCCCGGGGCUUAGGGAUUUUUUCAAAAAAUCAUGUUCCGCCGGUUAAGUUCUUGAGGGCUGAUUUCUUGUCCUGUGAUAAAAGCCUUCUGUUUCAACUGCCAAACCUUUCAGGGAGCAUUAGCAAGCGGUUGGCACCAUUUUUACUGAAUCGCCAAAAGUCAGAUUUUUGCUGAAAUUGUGACCACGGGGCUUAGGGAUUUUUUCAAAAAAUCUUUUCCGCCGGUUAAGUUGUUGAGGGCUGAUUUCUUGUCCUGUGAUAAAAGCCUUCUGUUUCGACUGCCGAAACCUUUCAGAGGAGCAUUUUCAAGCGUUUGGCACCAUUUUUGACUGAAUUGCCAAAAGUCAGAUUUUUGCUGAAAUUGUGACCCGGGGCUUAGGGAUUUUUUCAAAAAAUCUUUUCCGCCGGUUAAGUUGUUGAGGGCUGAUUUCUUGUCCUGUGAUAAAAAGCCUUCUGUUUCGACCGCCAAACCAUUCAGUGGAGCAUUUUCAAGCAUUUGGCACCAUUUUGGUGUGAAUCGCCAAAAGUCAGAUUUUUGCUGAAAUUGUGACCCCGAGGCUUAGGGAUUUUUUCAAAAAAAUCUUUUCCGCCGGUUAAGUUGUUGAGGGCCGAUUUCCUGUCCUGUGAUAAAAAGCCUUCUGUUUCGACAGCCAAAACUUUCAGAGGAGCAUUUUCAAGUGUUUGGCACCAUUUAUGACUGCAUUGCCAAAAGUCAGAUUUUUGCUGAAAUUGUGACCCGGGGCUUAGGGAUUUUUCAAAAAAUCUUUUCCGCCGGUUAAGUUGUUGAGGGCCGAUUUCCUGUCCUGUGAUAAAAAGCCUUCUGUUUCGACUGCCAAAACUUUCAGGGGAGCAUUUGCAAGUGUUUGGCACCAUUUUUGACUGAAUGGCCAAAAGUCAAAUUUUUGCUGAAAUCGUGACCCCGGGGCUUAGCGAUUUUUUCAAAAAAAUCUUUUUUCCGCCGUUUAAGAUGUUGAGGGCUGAUUUCUUGUCCUGUGAUAAAAAGCCUUCUGUUUCGACUACCAAAACUUUCAGAGGAGCAUUUUCAAGCGUUUGGCACCAUUUUUGAGUUAAUCGACAAAAGUCAGUUUUUUGUUGAAAUUGUGACCCCGGGGCUUAGCGAUUUUUUCAAAAAAAUCAUUUUCCGCCGGUUAAGUUCUUGAGGGCUGAUUUCUUGUCCUAUGAUAAAAAGUCUUCUGUUUCGACUGCCAAACCUUUCAGGGGAGCAUUAGCAACCGGUUGGCACCAUUUUUGACUGAAUUGCCAAAAGUCAGAUUUUUGCUGAAAUUGUGACCCCGGGGCUUAGCGAUUUUUUCAAAAAAAUCUUUUUCCGCCGUUUAAGAUGUUGAGGGCUGAUUUCUUGUCCUGUGAUAAAAAGCCUUCUGUUUCGACUACCGAAACUUUCAGGGGAGCAUUUUCAAGCGUUUGGCACCAUUUUUGAGUUAAUCGACAAAAGUCAGUUUUUUGUUGAAAUUGUGACCCCGGGGCUUAGCGAUUUUUUCAAAAAAAUCAUUUUCCGCCGGUUAAGUUCUUGAGGGCUGAUUUCUUGUCCUAUGAUAAAAAGUCUCUGUUUCGACUGCCAAACCUUUCAGGGGAGCAUUAGCAACCGGUUGGCACCAUUUUUGACUGAAUUGCCAAAAGUCAGAUUUUUGCUGAAAUUGUGACCCGGGGCUUAGGGAUUUUUUCAAAAUAUCUUUUUCCACCGGUUAAGUUGUUGAGGGCUUAUUUCUUGUCCUGUGAUAAAAAGCCUUCUGUUUCGACUGCCAAACCUUUCAGGGGAGCAUUAGUAACCGGUUGGCACCAUUUUUGACUGAAUUGCCAAAAGUCAGAUUUUUGCUGAAAUUGUGACCCCGGGCUUAGGGAUUUUUUCAAAAAAUCUUUUCCGCCGGUUAAGUUGUUGAGGGCUGAUUUCUUCUCCUGUGAUAAAAGCCUUCUGUUUCCACUGCCAAACCUUUCAGGGGAGCAUUAGCAACCGGUUGGCACCAUUUUUGACUGAAUUGCCAAAAGUCAGAUUUUUGCUGAAAUUGUGAUCCCGGGGCUUAGGGAUUUUUUCAAAAAAAUCUUUUCCGCCGGUUAAGUUGUUGAGGGCCGAUUUCCUGUCCUAUGAUAAAAGCCUUCUGUUUCGACUGCCAAAACGGUUCGGGGAGCAUUUUCAAGCGGUUGGCACCAUUUUUGACUGAAUUGCCAAAAGUCAGAUUUUUGCUGAAAUUGUGACCCCGGGGCUUAGCGAUUUUUUCAAAAAUAUCUUUUUCCACCGGUUAAGUUGUUGAGGGCUGAUUUCUUGUCCUGUGAUAAAAAGCCUUCUGUUUCGACUGCCAUACCUUUCAGGGGAGCAUUAGCAACCGGUUGGCACCAUUUUUUACUGAAUCGCCAAAAGUCAGAUUUUUGCUGAAAUUGUGACCCCGGGGCUUAGCGAUUUUUUCAAAAAAAUCUUUUAGGCCGGUUAAGUUGUUGAGGGCCGAUUUCCUGUCCUGUGAUAAAAAGCCUUCUGUUUCGACUGCCAAAACUUUCAGGGGAGCAUUUUCAAGCGUUUGGCACCAUUUUUAACUGAAUUGCCAAAAGUCAGAUUUUUGCUGAAAUUGUGACCCCGGGGCUUAGGGAUUUUUUCAAAAAAAUCUUUUCCGCCGGUUAAGUUGUAGAGGGCCGAUUUCUUGUCCUGUGAUAAAAAGCCUUCUGUUUUGUACGCCAAACCUUUCAGGGGAGCAUUUGCAACCGGUUGGCACCAUUUUUGACUGAAUCGCCAAAAGUCAGAUUUUUGCUGAAAUUGUGACCCCGGGGCUUAGGGAUUUUUUCAAAAAAUUGUUUUCCGCCUGUUAAGUUGUUGAGGGCCGAUUUCUUGUCCUGUGAUAAAAAGCCUUCCGUUUUGAACACCAAACCUUUCAGGGGAGCAUUUGCAAGCGUCUGGCACCAUUUCUGAGUGAAUUCCUGAAAGUCAGAUUUUUGCUGAAAUCGUGACUCCUGGAAUUAAGGAUUUUUUCCAAAAAACCUUUUUCCACCGGUUAAGUUGCUGAGGGCGAAUUCCUUGUCCUGUGAUAAAAAGCCUUCUGUUUCGACUGCCAAACCUUUCAGGGAAGAAUUUGCAAGCUUUUGGCACCAUUUUUGAGUGAAUUGCCAAAAGUCAGAUUUUUGCUGAUAUUGUGACCUCGGGGCUUAGGGAUUUUUUCAAAAAAACCUUUUUCCGCCGGUUAAUUGUUCGAGGGCUGAUUCCCUGUCCUGUGAUAAAAAGCCUUCUGUUUCCAUCUUCCAAGCUUUCAGGGAGCAUUUUCAAGCGUUUGGCACCAUUUUUGAGUGAAUUGCCAAAUGUCAGACCAAUGGGGUGCAGUCCAAAUGGAUCAAGGGACCUAUUUAUGCCCAGAGUUAACCCUCAUAUGCUGUGAACCUCCCCCACUGCCCCCCCCAAUUUCCCCCUGGUUUGUUUCCCUGCUAGAAAAUGGUGCAAUUUCUUCCUUUUCACCUCAUUUUUUAUUAGUAUGUGACUAAACAAAUGCAAAAUUAGUGCCUAAAAAAUAGCCAAUGUACACACAAACUUAUGUAGACUUCACUUUUCAGUAUACUGGAUAAAAUAAUGACACAGAAAAGGAACCCAAAUAAGAGUAUAUUACAUAAUAAAAUGCAAAAAAGGGGGUUCACAGGUAGAUUUUGUGCUUUCAUUUAUGGCCAAUCCUCAGUGGUGCUUCACAUAGCAGGGAGGACAUGCGAAGUGUCAAAGCCUUGGGGCACAUGUUUGAAUAUAAAGGAAGCCAUUGUACCAUUUUCACUCACUUGCUAAACAUUUGACUCCAACUGUAAAAUUGUUAACUUUUGAUGCAUUUAUUUGUCUUGUUAUUAUCAUUGUCCCCUGAAUUUACUGACUGUGUGUUCACUUCUGUUUUAGUACACUUGCACUGUUUUCGAAAUUUCAGGUCUUAAAAAAGAGAGAUAAAUUUUUGAUGAAUAAUAAUAAUAAUGCCUGCAAAAAUUUAAAAAAGAGUAUAUUGCAUCACAUGCUGUCCUGUCCUGACUGCACUCUUCUCCUCCCCAGUGUGACAUGAGAAAUUGGUCGGAUGACUUGAUGUACAUUUCAAAGCACCGCAAUUUCUUCCUCAUGCAAAAGAGUUGUUACUUUUGAAUAAGAAAAUCUUGGGAUAAACAUUGGGAGAUGCCGACUUCUGAAUCCCACUUAUCAAUGUAGCUUGAAAGCCCCAGAGUCUUAAUAAGCUGGCAGCUGAUGAAGGUGAGCCUGCUUGCAAACCUAAAUUGGUCCAGUUGUGGGUCAUUGCAUGUUGAGGUCCCCAGGGCCACCCCAAUAACUCACACAUCACACAGAGUUUUUUGUUUAAGGUUUUUUGGCAUAAUUUUGGCCACAACUUUAUUAAAAUAUAAAAAUGUGAGUGGUUGCUUAGGCAUUGGUUGCGACUAUCUGCCCCCCCAUGGGGGACAGACUGACAUUCUGCACAAUGCGAAAGUCAGAAAAGGGGAAUACACUUGGGGGUAGCGUCGGAGCAGGGAACCUGCCCUUAGCCCUCCCCAUAUGCAGCCAGGAGCUCAUUGCUAUGGCCCGAGCCCCCUUGACAGGGUGGACAAGCAAUAGUUGGCCCCUGUAUUCCUUUAACGGAAUCCCUUGCAGCAGCAGCAUUAGAGGGGCAGGCACAGCCAAUCCAUGCCCCUCAACCAACCAAACCAUAAACCAAUGCCUAACUGCAACCUUACAAGUUGUGACGAUUUGCUACACAGUAGGCAAAAACCAAAUGGCCCCAGCCAAUCAGCCAGAUGGACAAAAUUCCAACCGGGCCCCUGCCCCAAGAGCAGACGACCCCAUGACAGGCAUAGCAAGGUCAAAGCGAACAACCCUAAUUCUAGGGAUGGGGGGGACGGGCAAUCCGAUGCAUGGAGCGAAAAGAGGAAGCCCUAGCCUCGUGCAAGGAGUUUUAGCAUUUCUGGCUGUCAAUCAACAAAUAGCAACAUUAACUUCUUCCCAACAACAAGGGAAGCCCAAUCGUAUCAGUGGCCAACGAUCAAUUAGCCCGCCCCCAACUUUGGAGUGUCCUGGCGGCCCCCACCGCAACACGUGCUCUCCAUGAAGGAGAACACGCUUUCUGAAAAAGUUUGAACUGCAGAUAUAAAGAGAACCACCACGCUCUUUCCUCUGAGGGUUAGUCAAUAACCUUCUUGUGAUGCAGAGGCACACUGAUGGGGGAUGUGGAAAGAUGACAGACCUACUGACCUUGGUAAACGGUCUCUCUCUAAAAGUACGUGGAAGGUUGGAAAUAAUGUUGGAAGGGGACAGCUCCCUGGGAAAAUGCAAGCAGCCGGCGAGAGGUGAAAUUUGGUGAAUGAUCUGAGCUGAAAGUACAGCUGACGGGGUAAGCAGGUUGGAGAGGAGCGACUGAGCAAUGUGUCUCCGUUGCUGACAAAGCUAUGAUGUUCGAAACGAUCGCUUCAUCAGCUAAGCCGAAAUUGCAGGAUAUUGUCAAAAUGUUCCUGCUGAUGGGGGAACAUGGCAGCUAAAUGAAGCGGGCAAGAAGCAGAAUUAAAACUACUAGCUUUUGACAGGUUUUUCUGUCAGCUGCCGGUGUCAGAUCAGGGAUCUAAGAAACCUGUCCCUUUGUUUCCAUGGAUAUCUUCAUGUUCCCAAACACGGUGGCAUUGCAUAUGUGGGCCACUUGCUCUCAGUGCACAAGAAACAAGAGUCCAGGAGCUAAUAUCAUACAGAGGCAGGACUAGGGAAAGCAAGGCCACAUUUUUAUUACCCUUAAGGUAAAGGGACCCCUGACCAUUAGGUCCAGUCGUGACCGACUCUGGGUUUGAGGUGCUCAUCUCGCUUUAUUGGCCGAGGGAGCCGGCGUACAGCUUCUGGGUCAUGUGGCCAGCAUGACUAAAAGGCUUCUGGCGAACCAGAGCAGCACACAGAAACGCCGUUUACCUUCCCACCGGAGCGGUACCUAUUUAUCUACUUGCACUUUGACAUGCUUUCGAACUGCUAGGUUAGCAGGAGCAGGGACCAAGCAAUGGAAGCUCACCCCAUUGCGGGGAUUCGAACCACUGACCUUCUGAUAGGCAAGUCCUAGGCUCUGUGGUUUAACCCACAGCGCCACCCGCGUCCCUUUUAUUACCCUUAGUUACAGUCAUAAUCUAGGUUGACAAUAGGGUCGGGCAGGGACUGUACAAUCAGUCAGCUUGCCUGCUGACUAAGGUCUCCCUCCCUAGCUUUCUGGCAAGGUGAAACACAAGGGAGUUAUGGAAUACUGUAUGCAGUUCUGGGCACCACAAUUUAAGAAGGAUGUUGACAAGCUGGAACAUGUGCAGAGGAGGGCGACCAAGCUGAUCAACGAUCUGGAAACCAAGCCAUAUGAGGAACGGUUGAAGGAGAUGGGUAUGUUUAGCCUAGAAAAGAGAAGACUUAGAGGUGAUAGGAAAGGCAUCUUCAAAUAUCCACCCCUCUGUUGCCGGGCAGGUUAGUAUGGAUGACCAUCUGCAGUGAUUGGGCGGUUGGGUUACUGGGCAAAUUUUGGUGUUGCCAUUUAGGGGGACGGACCAAAGGUUAUAAAAUCAAGUCACACAGCACUGACUGGGCUCUUUUGCUGCGUGCAUCAGAUCACCCGCCCACCCUCCCUAAUCUAGGGCUAUUGCGUUGACCUUGCUAUGCCUGUCAUGCGGUUGUCUGCUUUUGGGGCAGGGGCCUGGUAGGAAUUUUCCCCACUUGGCUGAUUGGCUGGCGCCAUUUGGUUUUUGCCUACUGCAUAGCAAAUCGCCACAACUUGUAAGGUUGCGGUUAGGCAUUGGUUAAAAAACUGGUUGGUGGAGGGGUAAGGAUUGGUGGUGCCUGCCCCUUCAAUGCUGCUGUGGAAAGGGACUUCCAUUAAAGGAAUCCAGGGGCUUGCCAUUCUUUCGUCCGUACCCCUGAAUGGGGCUUAGGGCUGCGCAAGCCCCCAGGAGCAUAUGGGGGGGGGGAUGAGGUUCUGGUGCCCGGCUCCAUGCUCUCCCCAAUAUUCUUUUCCCUUACUGGCUUUCGCUGGAAUCCGGAAGUCAGUUCUGUCCCUGGGUGUGGGGACAGAUAGUCAUAACCAAUGCCUAAGCAACCACUCCCGUUUAUGUAUUUUAAUAAAGUUGUGGCCAAAAGUAUGCCAAAAACCUUAAACAAAAAUCAUGUGUGAACUGUGAAUUAUUUAGGGGUGGCUUAGGGGACCUUGACACACAACUGAAAGGUAGAGGAACAAAGUAUGGGGACCUCAGUAUAGUGUGGGCACAGCAACAGAGGUUUUGGAUUGGAUUAUUGUUGUAUUAUUCCAGUAGGAACACCCUUUGGGACUUUUCGUAGUGGGAAGCAACAUAGAAGUGUAAUAAACGCACUUGCAUUUUGUAAAGAUUUAGAUUUUGUAAAGAUUUAGAACCAUCCAUCACGGAAUCAAAGCAGGAAAUAUUCUAUAUGCUAAAAUUCAGAACCCAAAAAAUGACUUGGGGUUAUUUUAUGAACGAUCUAUAAAGUCCUCUAAGUGCAGAUCUGUCAGAGCACUGAAGACAAACAAGAUGCUAGGGCUGUAUUGCUAAGGAGAGAGACAGAAAUAAUCCCUCCGCUAUUGAUUUAUAUUCUAUCGAGAGUGGCAGUUACCCCUCACCUUGAAUCCAGUAUAAAAUGUUGCUGUUCUGUUACCUAACAAAGUAUACAAUUGACUUUGAGAAUACAGAAUAAGCCAGGGGUAAAAAAGGAGAUCAGGCUUCAGGGAUUUAUGGCGAAGAAGAAAGGUAAAAUAGAAUUUAUUUACACUGAAUAGACAACCUAGUGCGGGUGGAAGGCUUUAUCCCAGUAUGACACAAACGCCAUUCUCUGUGACAGAUACAUUAACUAUGUCAUCUGCAAAAAUGCAACUUUAUUUUCAGGAAUUAAGGAGCUGAAUGUUGAAAACUUGAGGAGAGAUAUGGUACUUCUUCAAGCAGCUCAUUGUUAACUAUGGAACUCACUGUCACAGGAGGCAGUGAUGGCUCCCAGCUUGGAUGGCUUUAAAGAGGAUUAGAUAAAUUCUUGGAAGAAAAGGCUAUCAAUAGCUACUAGCCACAACGGUCAUGUUCCACCUCCAUGGUCAGAGGUAAUAUGCCUCUGCGUACCACUUGUUAGGAAUCACAGGUGGCCCUGCUUGGAUGCUCAUGUCCUGCUUGCAGGUUUCUCAGUCAUCUGGUUUGUGGUUGUUGUUUAGUCGUGUCCGACUCUUUGUGACCCCAUGGACCAGAGCAUGCCAGGCACUCCUGUCUUCCACUGCCUCUCGCAGUUUGGUCAAACUCAUGCUGGUAGCUUCAAGAACACUGUCCAACCAUCUCGUAUGCAAUAUUUUUCUUUACAGCAUUGGACUUUCCUUUCGCUUCCAGGCAUAUCCACAACUGAGUCCCUCGUCCUUGGUGAAGUACAAUAAGAACCUUGUAAAAUAUAGUUUUAUUUAUUGGGAUGCGGGUGGUGCUGUGGGUUAAACCACAGAGCCUAGGACUGGCCGAUCAGAAGGUCUGCGGUUCGAAUCCCCACAACGGGGUGAGCUCCCGUUCAUAGAAUCAUAGAAUCAUAGAGUUGGAAGAGACCACAAGGGCCAUCGAGUCCAACCCCCUGCCAAGCAGGAAACACCAUCACAGCACUCCCGACAUAUGGUUGUCAAGCCUCUGCUUAAAGACCUCCAAAGAAGGAGACUCCACCACACUCCUUGGCAGCAAAUUCCACUGUCAAACAGCUCUUACUGUCAGGAAGUUCUUCCUAAUGUUUAGGUGGAAUCUUCUUUCUUGUAGUUUGGAUCCAUUGCUCCGUGUCCGCUUCUCUGGAGCAGCAGAAAACAACCUUUCUCCCUCCUCUAUGUGACAUCCUUUUAUAUAUUUGAACAUGGCUAUCAUAUCACCCCUUAACCUCCUCUUCUCCAGGCUAAACAUGCCCAGCUCCCUUAGCCGUUCCUCAAAAGGCAUUGUUUCCAGGCCUUUGACCAUUUUGGUUGCCCUCCUCUGGACACGUUCCAGUUUGUCAGUGUCCUUCUUGAACUGUGGUGCCCAGAACUGGACACAGUACUCCAGGUGAGGUCUGACCAGAGCAGAAUACAGUGGCACUAUUACUUCCCUUGAUCUAGAUACUAUACUCCUAUUGAUGCAGCCCAGAAUUGCAUUGGCUUUUUUAGCUGCCGCGUCACACUGUUGGCUCAUGUCAAGUUUGUGGUCAACCAAGACUCCUAGAUCCUUUUCACAUGUACUGCUCUCAAGCCAGGUGUCACCCAUCUUGUAUUUGUGCCUCUCAUUUUUUUUGCCCAAGUGCAAUACUUUACAUUUCUCCCUGUUAAAAUUCAUCUUGUUUGUUUUUGUCCAGUUCUCUAAUCUGUCAACGUCAUUUUGAAGUGUGAUCCUGUCCUCUGGGGUGUUAGCCACCCCUCCCAGUUUGGUGUCAUCUGCAAAUUUGAUCAGGAUGCGCUUGAGUCCAUCAUCCAAGUCGUUGAUAAAGAUGUUGAAUAAGACCGGGCCCAAGACAGAACCCUGUGGCACCCCACUAGUCACUCUUCUCCAGGAUGAAGAGGAACCAUUGAUGAGCACCCUUUGGGUUUGGUCAGUCAGCCAGUUACAAAUCCACUGAGUGGUAGCAUAGUCAAGACCGCAUUUUACCAGCUUCUUUACAAGAAUAUCAUGGGGCACCUUGUCAAAUGCCUUGCUGAAAUCAAGGUAGGCUACAUCCACUGCGUUCCCUUCAUCUACCAGGCUUGUAAUUCUGUCAAAAAACGAGAUCAGGUUAGUCAGAAAUCCAUGCUGCCUAUUGGUGAUCACAGCAUUCCUUUCUAGGUGCUCACAGACUGUUUGCUUAAUGAUCUGCUCCAGAAUCUUCCCUGGUAUUGAUGUCAGACUGACUGGGUGGUAAUUAUUUGGGUCCUCUGUUUUCCCUUUUUGAAAAUAGGGACAACAUUUGCCCUCCUCCAGUCUGCCGGGACUUCGCCUGUUCUCCAGGAAUUCUCAAAGAUGACUGCCAGUGGUUCUGAGAUCACAUCUGCCAGGUCUUUUAAUACUCUUGGAUGCAAUUCAUCUGGCCCUGGAGACUUGAAUACAUCUAAACUAGCC
rnacentral:lncRNA from 1 species